UGAUUUUUGGUUGGCUGAAGUCCUACCAAUGUAGGCAAUAAGAUUGAGUUGCUUUGAGGUCAAAUUGAAGCAACUCAGUUCAUGAUCCUCAAAAUUCAAAUCCCUGUAUCUUUAAAUAUACUUGGAGUUAGAGAAAAUUGAGGCCAGAUUCGAGCUCCUGAGCAUUUUUCCUUUGAGAUAGUGUCCUUGUUUUUCACUUUUCAUUGAGUUGAAGGUGGACCAGUCCAGUAAGGUCCACCGGAGAAGAUGACCGGAGCUAGGGCUCCGGUGGUGUGUUGGCAGCUUCACAUCCAUCUGAUUAUGGUCCAAUGAUCUAAUCCUGGCCUUCGGUUUGAAUUACCAACAUUGCAGCGUGUUGACUUGGUUGUAUGGUAGACACCACACGCGAGGCCACCACAUUUGCCAUCUCAAUUAAUGAGGGUGAUCUGAUGGCCUUUGUUUUUUCUUAUUUUAUUUUAAGUUCUGAUUUUAUGUUUAAUCCUUCUAUUUAAUUUAAUUCAUACAAAAUUCAUUUUUAAUCCAAUAAAAAUGGGACUUUCACCAAAAAUCUUUAAAUAUUUUUCUCUUCCAUUUUCUGAAUUAAAAUUAUUUUUUAGAUUAAUUUUGAUAUUUUUCAUGAAUUAAAUGUUUUUCUGUAUAUUUUUAAUUGUUCAAAAAUACUUCUGACUUUUCAAAAAUCAUGAAUUUUUUUCUCUAAGGUCCUUUGACCUUGUUUGACCUAGGAUAAAUCCCUUGGCCAUUUAUUUGGUGUUUUGAAGGGAUUUUAGGUUUGGACCAAAUUAAAAUGUAUUUUAAUUCAUUUUUAAAAUUAUUUUUAAUUGAUUAAAUGUUUUAAAAUGUUGUUGAGCCUUUCUUUUUGGUCUUGUGAUGUUUGAUUAUCUGUUUGGGCCUUGGUCAAGGUUGAUUUGACUUUUGUUGGAUCAAAACCAUUGUAUUUAGGGGGAUUGCUGAAAUAUACAUUUCAUCUCACAAAAUGAAUGGAUGGUUUUGAUUUGAUGAAAUUCCUCCCAUGAUCAAUUUGUGUUUCUAUCUUCCCUUCCCUUUUCAUCUUCAUCCCUAUUCUUCCUCAUUCCCUCAUUUGACCAAUGAAAUCUCUAAUGUCUAAAGGCUAAUUGGUUCUUCAAUGACCUUGUGUCAGAUGAAUCAACACAAGUAUGAUUAAGAUAUGUCCCUCCCUCUUGAUCUUUUCUUUUAGUGUGUGGUAUGUUUUACGAGAUUGGUUCUUCAUACCAAGUCUAUAACAUGCAUUAGCACCUAAAUUUUUAUUACCCGACCUCAGAUAGUUGUGACUUCUACAUAAGUACAAUUAUGAUUGUUUAACAUAAAGCUAAAUUUGACCCUUAAGGCAUAGCAAUCUAGUAAGUGAGAUUGUAAGUCUCCCAUUCUUCAUGGCAUUGUAUGGAGACUUGACCUUUUUUCCAUUCAUGGGAGCUAGUGGCAUACUUAUUUGGUUAUCCAAGUUAGGGCCCUUCUCAUGGAAGAUGUCUUGGUUUAAGGAUUCAUACUUGUGAAUGAAUGGUUGAGUGUUCUCCAAAUAAUGACUUAAUCAAUUAAAAAACACCACUAACACUUGACUAACUUUUGACUAACAUUUGACUAACUCUUGUUUAUAUUGCUUUACUUUCAAGUUAUUUACUUUAUGCAAUUUAAACUUCAUUCAUUUAUCAUUCAUCACCAUUUACAUUUCAUGUAACUACUUGCUUAUGUUUAUGUCAUUUUCACUUUGCUCAAUUGAGACAUGCUUUGUGAUUGUAUAUAUUUGCUUGUUUGUUUUGAUUUUGCUUGUGGUCUUAGGACCUUAAAAUACCUAAUAUUAACAAAAACCCUAAAAAACAUCUGGUGGACUAUUGAUCUUGAUCUGAACUUUUGGACUUAGGAUUAGGCAACAUUCCCUAUGCAAAAAGGACUUGGUGAAUGCCAACAUUUUGAGACUAGGCUAUAUUGAACUGAGCCUUCAUCUGAUACAAGCUUUGGGAGUUGUUUGAAUUCAUCUACUACUCUGUCUUUAUGCUUAAUUGCUAUUUGGAUCUUGUGUCUGAUGCUUUGUUCUGAGUUGAUCAAGGAAUAUUUCAUCUAAUACAUUGGAAGACAAAGAAAACUGCUAGCUAUGGGAAUUGCUUGCUUGGAUGUGACUAUCUUUAUUUGGUGCAUUGAUCUUCAUGAUGUAUGGAUAGUGUUCAUUGCUUAUUGAUUAUUGCUUGAUUAAAUUCUAAAGGAAAUGGGUUUCUAUAUGACAUUCUUGUCUGUUGGAUUGCAUCCCAUUGGUCAGAUCUUUUCAACUCUUAACUUUUGCAUUUGUGCUUAGGGUAGUCUCUUCAUCUUCUCCCACUUAUUAAAUUUCAAAACUCUCUCCCUCUUUUGAAAAAAAACUUUCUUUGCUUGUGACUUCAAAUUUAGACUUUGUUUUAAUGAUUAGAAACUUUGGCCUUAUGCCAUUGAAUUUUCAAACUCUUUCUUAAAUCAAACAUGUAAAUAAACUUAAUCACAUUGACUUUAAAUUUCAAAAGGAAAAAAAGUACUAACAACCCCAUUCAAAUUUGUAUCCCUUUGUGUCGUUUUUAUUUAAGCUUUUGUUAAAAACAAUUCACCAACUUAUUUGAAAUUUUUACCACGAACUACGAGGUUUUAAUCCCUCAUUUUUAUGUUGGUACGUAGACACAAGUCCGAAGGUCUUGUCAAACACAAAAAUAUAAUAAAUGAAUUCUUUUCUUAUCCCCACGCUCUAUUUUUUCUCAAACAUAUCUUAUACCAAAAAUAUAUGCACACAUAAAAAAGGGCUCCCUAGGAGUACCUAGGGCACUUUGGGUGCUAACACCUUCCCUCUGUGUAACCAACCCCCUUACCUGUAAUCUAUGGCAUUUUAUUAGUUUUGAUUUGAAAACUUCUUAUCUUUGGGUUUUGUUCGUAAUUUUCCCUUUUCCUUUGGAAACAAUAAAAGCGCGGUGGCGGCUCUGGCUUUGUUGACGUUAAGCUUAUCCGUAGUUUGAUGGUCAUGAAUUUACCGCUAAACACACCAUGGCCCCUGCUGUUGAUCUUGUAUUUGUUCAAUGUCCUUCAACAAAAUUAUUCUCUAAACAAGUUUAUUUAAGGCAUAAAUAGUUGUUAGCCAAUAUUUGAUUACACCAUCCAAUCCAAACACACCACAAUGUAACAUUUGACUUGUACUACUGAUGUAUCUGAGGUCAACCCUAUUAUCAAUCCAAGCAAUCUAAAUCCUACCAUUAUCAUGUUUAUUAUAUUUGUAAAUAUAUAUACCUCUUAGAUUGAGUUUACUUCUAACAUUAGUGGCUUUGUUUUCCUUCACUCUAGUUUCUAGCAAGACAAUAAUAGUGGAUCUAAGCAGGAGGAGACGUGAGCUAAUUUCCCUAAGCUUGCUCGAUUUAUUCAUCCCCCGAAAGUUCCAAUAAAUUAUCAUGUUAUACUAUCUUGACAUUGUGAACAACAAAUGGUGAACCAGUUUGAACCUUUGCUUUACCUUUAUUUCUGCUACUGCUAUUCACCUUUUUCCAUUCAACAAUUGGCUCUUCAGAGUCUUUUUCCACUGAUGCGAAAAGUAAAACAUAUGCAUAGGUAAUUAAAGUAACGAAAAUAACUCGUCAGGAAUGAAUUUUAUCCACCUAUCUAAUAUGAAAAUCUAUCAAUCAGUUGCACACAACCUAAAACACUUAUCAAUAUCAUCACAUAUCACUCACAUCAGUGUUCAUGUCUGUAAAACCGACAAGAGUUCUACCAUAUUGUUUAAUCGAAGAUCUCUCAUCCUAUUAAAUGAUACAGAGCAUUAAGAAUCGAUACUCACAUGAAUGUUAGAUCUAACUCUAUGUAUAGAGUUUAGUAUCCAACAAAUGAUUAUCCUAGAUCUAGAUUCGAAGAGUAUUUCUCAACGGUUCAAAUCAAUAGAUAAAAUAAGUAAACAAGAAUAACAUCGAUAUAGAUUCAUAAAAUAGAUCGUAUACAAUACCAUGAUUAAUAAAUAUGCAUACUAUCAAAGUAAACUUGCAUACAAUUCCAAUAAUAAAGGUAUAAAGAGACGAAUGUGAAGGAGAAGAGAGAUCCAAAAUGCAGUGGAAUUUAAAAAAAAAAUCUCCUUUAGUGAUCCUUACAAAUGGGCAUGAUCAGUGAUAGAAUCGUUACCUCUUGUGGCGAUUGAAACCUUUGAUGCAGAUCUACGGAGAGAUCACGAACGUUGAACGGUUACAACGCCUCUACUCAGUCCACACAAAUGGAUUCCUUCAAUCUCAGUGCUAGCUUCAACGAACAAAGGCUUUGAGUGAGAGAGAGAGAGAGAGAGAAAAACGAAAUUACAACUUCACAAAUUCAUCUACACAAGGGUUCUAUUUAUAGAACCACUUGUGUGGGCUGCAAGCUAAAAAGCCCACUUAAGUGUAUGUGGCCCAUAUCUUAUGAUAUGUCAAAAUCACUUAAGCAUGUGGUACCUUACCAUAUUUCGUAUUCUACUUAAGCACGCCGUACCUUACGAUAUUCUACAAUACACUUAAGUGCACCGUACCUUACGGUGUUCCUUAGUUACUCUAUCUCUCAUCAAUCCAUCCUUUUGUGUGUGACCCUGUAGGUUUUUGCGACAUUAGCAAUUUUAUUAAAUCAUGUAUUUAACAUAAUAAAUAGUGAGCGGUAUCUAGCAACACAUCACUGCUACCCAAGACACGAAAAUAUCAUGUGAUCUUCUGAUAAAUCCUUUUUGUGAUAAUACUUAUAUGUAUAAUUAUCCUUUUUCCCUUAUGUUUAUAUUGAACAUAAGGCAUAGACUGUGUCAUCCUUGUCCAGUUCAAUAUUGGGCCCGUAGACAUUUAUCCUGUUUCGCAAGAUGGGCAAAUGCCAUCUAGGUCACUCAUGUCCCUCAGCAUGCUUCGUGGAGUACCCAUCAACUGUCUUUAUGGUCAUCCAGUUACAGAUAAUGUUUGAUCAGCAAUAAGGCACUCGACUCUACAUUUAGGGUACAUAGUGGUUUCAGGUUAAAGGGUAGUAUACACCAUUAUCACCAUGAGAAUAACUUAUGACACUUAGCAUAACAUUCUAUAUAGUAUUCUCAUAGCGGUUCAAUCUAGUAUAAAUAUUACUCUCAAUAUUCAUACUUAUGUUUAAGACUUGAUAACUCCUUAUCCAUGAUCCAUGAGAUAUGAUCAUCAGUCUAUAUACAUAAUAGUCUUAAUGCUUUAAUGUUAUCCCCCUUCACAACAAAGCUCGACUACAGAUACUUUAAGAAUAGUGUCCUUAUGUUUAAUGGGAUCUCAUGAUUAAGUCACACUUGAUACAUUAAACGGACUAGCUAUUCUAGGGAAUUUAUUAAACAAACAUAAUAAAGAAAAAGCCUUUUAUUACUCAUGAUUAAGUCACACUUGAUACAUUAAACGGACUAGCUAUUCUAGGGAAUUUAUUAAACAAACAUAAUAAAGAAAAAGCCUUUUAUUAUUAAUAAAUAAUUCGAUACAAGUACCAAAAGUAUUGACCUCUAGGGCUUGCACCAACAGAAUGUAGAUGAAUAAGCAUCCACCGUGAUUUUCCAAUGAUAGAAGCAAACCGAACUCCGGAUCUUCAAGAUUUCAACCCCUAAUGUUAUUUCUAAGCUACUCUCCAUAAAAAAUGGUGUUGAUGGAAUUGGGGUUAAAAUUUCCCAAAACCAUUCCCAAAAAUCUGUGUACAAAUGAAUAUAUAGCAACUCAAAAAGCAGAAUCGCGUUAAGCCCCAUUAGAGCCCGUUUAGCAUGAUCAAAAAAAUAAACACAAACCACCUUAAUUUGCACUAAGCAUGCUUCUAGCACACUCCUAGCGCGAAUUUCUCAAAUUCCCCCGGACUUUUGUUUCUAAGAACGCUAGGACCGUUCUAAGCCGAAGCAGGAAAACUUGGAAUCUUUAAAAAAAAUGUUAUUUUGGGUCUUGCUUUGUGCUAACAAGUAUCCAAGGCUUCCAAUAGGAUAUAAAACCUACAAAACUACACAAAUUUGAUCAAACAAAAGACAUUUACAUGAAAAUGCAAACUACUCAAUAUUUACGCAAAAGUUGGGGUUUACCUAAGAAAAUCAAUUGAAACAAGUCAAUAAGUGCCAAUUAUUCACACACAAACUUACUACAAUUUAGCACUUAUCACCUACCAAGGUGAUUUUGCCUUCUUAAUAAGGACUUAAUCCGCUAUAAUCGAAACUGAUUACAGACACCACAAAGACAAACCGUCUUUGUCUUCUUGAGUCUAUCUGACUAAAACCUAGUCACUCAAGGAAACCACUCAAACAACUAUGAGAUUUACAAGUGUGUGUUUACAAGUAUUGGUUCUAAGAAAGUAUAUUAACACAAGUUAAAUACAAUGAAUAUCUUCAUAUAAUAACGAGCAACAACUCUUGUGUGUUUACAAAGACUAUACAUAGAAAAUAUAUACUUCAUCAAAAUCGUGUGUAUGUUUUAUAGCGUAAGCGUUAACAACUUCUUCCAAUCUUCCAAGUCUCAUUUACAUAGGCAGUUAAAAGAUUCGUUGGAGGGUAGAAUUUGAAUAGAAAUUUCAGUUGCCUCUUUGUUUAACAGUUUGCAUAUAUGAUACAAAAUGGUACAAUAAUACUGUCUUUAGCCCACAAAAUCAGUAUAGUGGAGAGAAGGGUGAUCUUGUACUGUGUACUAUAUUUCUAAUGAUAAACCUUUUGGUCUUAUCUUCCAAUCUCCUGAGGCUUCUGAUGAAAUGAUGUUGAAGUAUGCUUAGAAGGAUCAAGACACUAGUUAACAGAAUCCUCAGAACCUCGGUCUUCAGAGUCUUGACAUCGUUCCUUAGAACCUGGUCUUUAGAGUUUUCAUAUCUUGUUCUUCAGAAUCUUCAGAACUUUAGCGCAUAAUCUUGAAGGCUGACAAUCCUUCAGAGGCUCUUCAAUCAGAGUUACAGUCCUUUAGCAUAAAAAUUCAUCAGAACCUCUAUCUAAAAGCUUUCCAGAACUUGACAGCAACUUCUAAAUCACUUGUAUCUCUUUAGAUUCAUAGUAUGCUGAUGCCAGAAUUUAAUGAUGUCAUACAUCAAUGCUUCAGAGUCAUAACCUGUUAGCAAAAGUUACACAUUAGAUAAAAACCAUUAGUGUAUAAAAUUGUUCUCUAAGAAACAAUGCAUUGUUAUCAUUAAAACUAAAGGCUAGAUGUAGAACAAAAACUUGUUCUUACAUCUAGUACUGUAAAAAAGGAACAAAGAGGUAUGAUGAUAGAAGGAGAACUAGGAACCUAACUCAAAAGAUUUAAACCUACUUUCCUAAAAAAUACAGAGUCACCACCGGAUUAUAUUUAUUCCAAAGGAAAGGAAAAAUAGCGAUAAAACCCCAAAUGAGAGAAAUGGUCUCGCAACCAAGAGCGGAUUUGAAAGUCGGUUAUGCAAGGGGAAGGUAUUAGCACCCCUCACAUCCAUCGUACUCCAUGGGAGCCACUUGCUCGUAUCAAAUGCGUAUGGAUAUUUAUUUAUUUGUAAGUUGCUUGAUAUUGGGAAUGAGAUGAAAGGAUAAGGUGGGAGAGAAAAUAAGUUUUAAUUUAGUGUGCUCGCCAAGGAUUUGGGCCUUUGUGCCUACGUACCCUCAUACGUGCAAUCAGAAAGUCAGAGCUUCAUAGUUCGACUCAGAAAUGGAGUAUUUGUUUGGUUGUUUUUACUGAACAAAAUUGACAUUCGUGUGCUACUCACUUUCUUGUAUACCCUGUCAUAGGAGCGGAAAAUAUUUGCUUGUUUGUGAUAAAGUGGAUACGCUUGGUUCGCACUCUAGCAGUUAAACAUUACUUGCUCGCACAUGGAGGCUUAAGCGUCGUUCAUGGUAGAACGGAAGUAAUACGUUAUUAUUGAAAGGUUUUGAAUAGAGUUCACUAAGGAAAAAGAUGAUUUAAUUUGUUGGGGUUGAUUUUAUGUACAGAGACAAGCAUCCGACCCUUGGCUAGAUACAGUCAAUGGUCCAAUAACUCGGGAAUUGAGAGGACAAUGUUAUCCUAACUACUCUUUUUCAUCAAAAAAAAGAGAUUUGAAUUGUGAAAAGAGAUUGGCAAGUCUAAUCAUUGGAACUUAAAGGGAGACAAGUAUCUGACCCUUGACUAAGUACGGUCAAUAAUCAGAGUACUUGGGAAUUAAGAGGAUAAUGGAGUCCUAACUACUCUUUUUCUCCCUCUUAGAACCUAUAUAUAACUUAUUUGAAUCAUUAGAUGUUUUAAGGGGGAAAGUCAAGUGUCGGGUCCUCAGGCUAGGUACGGCCGACAACCCAAGUACUUGAAUGUUGUGUACAAGCACGUACACCCCAUUUUUCAUUCCAAUUUGUUAUGAAAAUGGUUUUGAAAAAGGAAUUUGACGUUGGAUCAAGUGUUUGAUUUUAUUAUGAAAAGAGUGUGAGUGAAGAAUGGAGGUGAGAGAUAGAAUGAGUUUGAGAAAAGAAUGGAGAAAAGAUGAUAGAAUGGAUCAUGUAAUGGAUGGGGAAUACUUGACGUUGGAUCAAGUAUUCACGUUGCAAUGGUGUGAGUUUUAUUCGGUUUCUGUUACACUUCGUCUUCUGCAAAUUUCUAUUUUCUUUAUUGGAUUUCAUGUUUGUGUGUUCCUCCUGCGUCUUUUUUGGUUGGAAGGUUGAGGGCGAUUCAGAACUCGGUUUGUCGAUGGGUGGUUAAGGGAGGUUUUGAUAGAGGUUUAUGUUAAGGCUCUGACUGGUUUUUCGUGAGGGUGAUUGUAGGUUUAUGUGGAGGCUCAGAGUGAAGAGGUUGGAGGUUUAAUCUUCCAAAAAAACGAGGUGAGGGAAAAGGUUGAAGAGUUUUUCUGUUGUGGAGUUUUGUUGGUGGAGGGUUCUGUAAAUGGUUGGAGAAGUUUUCUGUUGGAAGCAAGAUGUUCAAAGAGGUUUGAGAGGAGGUUUUCAAUUGAAUUAUGGUAGUGGUUAUGGUUAUGUCCUGAUGGAGGGGUGAAGAAGUUUCUUGAGGAAGCUGAUGAAGGAGGUGGAGAUAGAGGUUCUGUUGAGGUUUUGUGGUGAAGGUGGUUUGGAUUGUGAUGAAAGGGGAGGUUGAAGAAAAGGGAGUGAAGGUUGAGUUUCAGAGUUUAUGGAGGGUGAACAAUGAAUUGUUGUAGAGUAAAAAUAGUUCUGAGCAUUUGUGAAAGGUGGAAAAAAAACUCUCCGCUGAAAGUUGCAGUGAGUAGCAUUUAUAUCCAAAUCAAUCCCCUAGAUUCUUCUGUUCAAUUAUGUUACAAGUUGGUUACCAGUUUGUUAGAGUUAGAAAUUUGGAAAGGUUUGGAAGCGGUUAAUUAUGUUGCCUCUUGCGGUUAGGGAAGUUGUGAAAAUCUGUUAAGAUUCAACUUCUGUUAUGGAGGUUAUAAUGGUUUUUAUGAGUUUUGUGAAAAGAUUCUGUUGAGAAAAUGUUACGCAGUGAGUUUUAAAGGGUGAAAAUCCAUUGAGUUAGAGUGUGAGUCCACUCUUAGAAACUUCACAGGGUGGAAAUUAACUUGUAUUUCAUUGUUAAAAUUGUAUGCAAUUUGAAUGUUUUUUUUUUAGAAUUAUGUUAUGAUUCUUUUGGAUUGAUACUAUUCAUGUCGUUUUUUUUUUGCAGUUUGGAAUGCUGAAUUUUUGCAUUGUGUUUUGGCUCCAUUGUUGUUUCUCCUUUCACUUUCUUAUUUUAUCUCUUUGUGGAUAAUGGAUAUGGGAUGUAGUAUUGGAUUAAUUGGAUAAUGGAUAAUUGGAAUGGUAACUUGGUUGUGAAUUAGAAAUGAAUUUUAAUUUGGAUAAUAGAUAAUUGGAAUGGUAACUUGUUUAUGAAUUAGAAAUGGAUUUUAAUUUGGAUAAUGGAUUGGUAAAUGGAUAAAUGAACUUGAAAUUGGAUAUGGAUGUAAUGUGGUUUGGAUAUGGGCUAGACAAUGAAUGAAUGGGUUUAUAUAUCUUUAACAACCAUGGUCCAUCAAGAAAAUUCUAAAGAUGAUUAAAAAAUUCUAAAAUUAAGUCGAGACCGAAGGCUUAAUUGUACAUGAUGCAGUGACUUCUAAUGUUAAUCAAAAAUCUCAAAAAUCAAUCCUGACUACAAAAUCAAAUUUGUAUUCGAAAUAGAAUUGAACUUUAAAAACAAUGUGGUUCUUAAAAUUAAUUUGAAAAAAAGAUGAAAUGAUUUCUAAAAUCAAAUUUAAACCCUUCUUGAAUGGAAUGAAAUCUUAAUGCACUAAUGAAUUAAGAUCAAUGCACUAGGACCUCAUAUGAACCACAAGAACACGGACCAGGAAUGCAAUAACGGACUAAGAAUCAAUGGAUGAACUUGAAUCAAUGCAUUAGGAAUUCCAAUCAACGGGCCAUGAACUUGAAUAAAAACAAGACCAUGAAUGAAACAAAAGUUAGGACCAAAUGAGUCAUGUGACGAGCCACGAUCAAGAGGUUGAUUAAGAUGGAUGAAAGACACAAAUGAAUAAUGGCCCGAGUCCAGCCAGAUGGGCGCCAAUCAAACAAAAGGUCAUGAACAUGUGUAGCUUGAAUGGAUCCUAAUCAAUGAAUCAGGACCAAGAAUAUUACUCAAGUCAAUGAAACAUCCAUAACAGACCAGAUGAAUCCUCAUUCUUGAAUGUAUACACCACGUGACGACGCCAUAACCAACAACUAGGGUCUUAGGAAUUGAAUUUACCUUAAAGGUGCUCACAAUCCAACACCUCUGAAUCAAAGUCAUGACCACAACUAUGGUCCCAAAAUCAGGGCUUCAAGCUAUACUCCAUGAUGAAGACAACCAGGACAAAAUGCUCACCUCCUACUUAAUGUCAUGUGUGAUAAAAACCCUUGAACCCAUGAUUUUAUGUUUUUUUCAAAUGCAAGUGGAAUGUGUUAUGAUACAAUGGAUAUGUAUAUGAGAUGAAUGCUUAUCAGGAUAUGCGAAUGCUUAGGGUUAGUGACCUAGAUGAACUUGUGACAGGUAGGAUGAGUUUUGAGGUAUGACAGUUGCUCCUCUUUAAUCUUCUCAAACCUGAAUGUAAAGAUAGUAACAGCUUCCGAACAUUCAAGGUAGGAGAGGAUUAAAUACUAAAAUAUCGGAAAAUUUGCCCACUAAGAACAAAUGAAAUGUGAAGAUAGGUCAUGAAGAAUUCUCCAUUGAGGUAUAGGGUGAACAAGGUAGCUUUUGUGUAAGGCAACUGUUGGGGAUUUAGAUGUUAUCAUGUGCAUAUUGACCUCUCCUCCAAGGACAAUUAAGGCUGAUGCAAUAUAAUUGACUCAUAAAUUGCUUCUUCAUCAUAUGCAUACUGACCUCUCCUCCAAGGACAUACUUGAUCAAGGCUGACUCCUAAAAUUUCAUCUCCGAUUCGAUAUCCUCUUAUUCAAUCUCAAUUUCGAUUUCUUCGUAGACUACUUUUUGUGUUACAUACUAAAUGACCAUUCCAUUUUCAGGGUUUCUAUUGUUUCUAAAAACAUCAACCCAUAGCUUUCUCGUCUCUUUUGAAUCUUCAAAUUUCUCCAAUUUCCCUGGUUCCAUGGUUUCCUUUAUCAAUCAACCGUCGCCUUCUUCUUUUCCUUUAAUUUUAGUUAUUGGCUCAUCAAAUUCGCCCCCUUGAAUUUCCAGAGCAUCGUCUUUCUCUUUCCUGUUGGCAUGUGUAUUUCAUAAUGAAAAACUAGCGACGGUGACACCACUUUCUUUGGCCGUCUCCGUCCCCUAGUCACCGUCCCCUUUAUUAUUACUUCAAUUCAACUUUGACAAAAACUUUCUGUUACAAAUAAAAUAAAUUCACUUUUAUGCAUAUAUAAAAAUAAAAUUGCAUAAUUUUUUUUAUAUAAAUAUGUUUUAUUUGUUAAAUUAAUAAAAAAUAAAAUUUGGCAAUAAAAUUUACUGAAAGUAAAAAUUAUAAGAGAAUAAAAAUCUUUAAAAAAAAUUGAGAGGAAAUUUAGUAAUUGAAUAAAGAGGAAUAAAAAAUAGAGAAAAAACAAAAAUUAUUAGUGCCCGAAACUUCCGCCACUGAUAUUUUCAUAAGAUAAAUUUUAUAUAAAAACAAUUUUUGGAUACUGAAUUUUGGGUCAGAAGAAUUCAAUUGCUAAAUCCAUGGCUAAUUUUAUUUUGUGAUCAAUUUAGUAACAUCUUAAAGUUUACUCAUGGAUAUUAAAUUUUGGUGGCUAACUCGGUGGCUAGAGUGAAAUUUCCAGUCAGUAAAAGCGAAUUUUCUAGUAGUGUAUGUUCCAUUUGAUUGUCAUCAUCAUAGAGUCAAGUCCAUUAAACCCUAAUGAUUUAGUUUCAUUUUUAACAACUCUCUAGUUAUCCUCAAAAGUCUUGUUGUCAUUAUCAAAGACAUGUUCAUAUUUAAUAGUUGUCAUCAUCAAGAGCAUAUCCCAUAUCCUGCAUAACAAGAUUCCAUAUUAUGUCUCCACUUUUCACUACACUCAUAUUAAAUUUGGAACUUACUUGAGUGUUAUAAUGCUAAUAUUACAAGUCCACAACUACGCCGUUGUAUCAGAGAUCAACAUCACUGGUUCAUGAUUCCUCAUCGAUAAUUUACACCUAAUUUUGGUUCCGUAACAUAACAUGUAGCCAUUUAUCUUAGAAUAUAUAAAUCUUCUGCCUCCCAAUUUCUCAACACAUGUGAUCCUCGAUGUAUAACAUAUUGAGCUUAAUUAUAUGUCAUAAUGAUAAUGAGAUAUGAUGUUUUUUUAGAAUUUUUCUAAAUUAUAUGUUUUUCGGAGUUUGUGCCCAUUAAAUUUAUUAGGUGAGCAAUUUCUAAGCAUGACACAUAUAAUAUAUAAAUAUAUAUAUAUAUAUAAUAUAUUAAUAUAUUAUAUAUAUAUAUAUAUUAUAUAUAUAUAUAUAUAUUAUAUAUAUAUAUAUAUAUAUAUAUAUAUAUAUCCAACUUUGUUGAUGAGCAUUAUGUCUAGUAUUCCUAAGCCUCAUGUUUUAAUAGGAGUGUACACCUUAAUCCAUUUAAUUGUUAUCAUCUUUAUGUCAUCAAUGUUUCUAGGCCAUACAAAGUUUCUUAUGCAAGUCUCUAGUUUAUUAAUGAGUGAAACAUGACCUCCAAGUUUGAAAAACGAACUAAAAUCUCUUUUCCCUUUACAAAGACCUCUUGUUUGAAGGAUUAUGUAUCAAUAUAAGUGUAAAGCCUCUUGAGAGGGGGCGCCAGAACUAUCUCAGGGAAGGCGAGGUGGCACGUCACCCACGUGAGGUACUCCUUAGCCGCCUAUAUAUUAGGAUGAGUGCCCAUUGCUUGAUUAUGUUGCAUGUUCCCUGAAUGACUCGCUCGAUUCAUGAGAACGUAGAGAGUGAUGUGUCCCAAUCUACAACAGUACGAAGAGAAAGUCAAAAGGGGAACAUCACGUUGUCCUGAAUAAUAGCGAAUUGGCUAGCCACUUUCCACAUUCUUGAGAGCGAUUAUCAUUCUCUCGUAGCUUAGGGUUCAGGCUCAAAUAUUUCUUAUAAAUACCUCAAUCUUAAAGUUAAUAGGGAUCUAAUUCGUUACGCAAAAAUACUACAUACAUAGCUUCUCACAUCCCCGUGUAAGUUAGCUCUAGCGUCCAAAAACCCCUAAAACAAAUCGUAAAAAAUAAAAAUAUAAAAAAAUCUUCAAAAACUCAAGAUUAUUUAUUCUACAAUAUCAUCUUAAUUUAGUGAUUGGUUUUAAAAAAGGGAACAACUAAAACAUACUAAUAUAUUUGUUUUAAAAAAAGGGAAUAACUAAAAUGUACUAAUAUAAAAAUAAAAUAAGAAGAAGAAGAAAAAAAAAGGAAUAUCCAAUAAUCCUUCCAUAGCUCAAGAUUUUUCAUUCUAUAACAUCUUCAUUUCCUUCUAUGGUUGGUUCAAAAGUUGGAAAAUCUAAAUUGUACUAAAAUAAAAUUAGAAAAAAAAAAUAGAAAUAUCCAAAAUCUUUCCAUAGCUUGAGAUUCUUCAUUUUGCAACAUCUUCACCUUUAUUUAAUGGUUGAUUCUAAAAUAAAAAUAUCCAAAAUUGUAAUAAAGUAAAAUCAAUAAGAUAUGAAUUUUCAAAAUCUUUCUCCAAUCGAAGAUUCUUUAUUCUAAACCAUCAUCAUUUGCAUUCAAUGGUUUACAAUGUUAGAAAAAAUAGGAAUAUUUGUGAAAUUCCUUGUCUUUGCAAUAUUGAGAAUGCUCUCUAAUUUUCAAAAAUACUUUUAAGACUCGAAAACCUACGGCAUGUUUUAGUCAUGUUAAUUUACAUUUUAUGUUAUUUAAAUUUAAAUCAAAAUAAUUAUUUUCUUCCCUCAAAUUUCUUUAUUCUUUACGACUAUAAAUAUCUUACGCGAUUUUUCUAUGAAUUAAAAAAUAAAUAAAAAUAGUUUUUUAAGAUCAUUUUGCUAAAAAAAAGUGGUUUUUUAAUGAAAUUUCUACCAAUGAAUAUUUUAAAAAUAGUUAAGGAUGAAAUUAUAAAUAAAAAAUGGUUCGACUAAAUUAAUAUAAAAAUGACAUAUUUUACUCAUUUAAAAUAGAAAAAUCUAAAAAUUAAGUUGCGAAUAUAUAAUCUCAUGUAAAAAAAAAAGAGUAUAAGAUAUAAUUUUAAUUUAUUAAAUGAUCAAUUUCAUAUCGAACAUUUUGAUUAACCACCUAAACCAAUUGUCUACAAAUAUGUGCUGUUAUGGUGGAUGCACGAUCCGUAACAAGGUUUUCAGCCGUGAGUGGUGAUUUUCCAGAGAAUCCCUUCUCACAAGAAGAAACUGCUUUAGAGGCAUCAACUGCACUAUCCAUCGCCAACUUAGGGUUUCCUUUCUGCAAACCUUCGGUUGCUUGUGGAACAUCUGUUGUGAUAAUUACAUUGUAUUUAUCUGCACAUGAUUUAAGUGCCGUCUUUUGAUCGGGCGAACUACUUUCGAUAAGUUGAUUGAUUUUGUUUAAACCAAUGUUUGCUUUGUCUUUCAUUACAUUAACCAUGAUCUGUGCUAAACCACUCACAUCUGCGGUGGAGCUUUUCGGAUCAUCAGUUAGGUAUUUCUUACAUUCCUCAUAAUUUGGAGUCUCUAAGCAAGUGUUAUGUAUUGUUUUGGCAUCAUUUGGUUGGAUAACUCGGGCGUGAGUUACAACAAGAAUGGUGCACAAAAUGAGAACGAAUAUUGCUAAUGACUUUAACAUUGUAAAGUUUUUUAGAAUGAGAAGAAAUAAAUAGAUGUAUUACAAGUUUAUAAGAUUAGAAGAGAAUGAAUGAGAAUGGAACAACAAUUACCCUUAUUUAUACUAGGAAGCCUACACUAGUUAAUUCAUUUUUAGUAAACUUUUACCACUUAAAUUUCUAAUCAUUAUUUAUUAAAAUGGUAUAUAAAUAAAAAAAUUAUUUCUAUAUUAAUGUUUUUUUUCUAAAACUAAACUUAUCAUCAAAAAUAGUAUUGAUUUUUUUUUCAGUAAAAUUUUAAUUUUAAUAUUUUUUCUAAAUUAAUGAAAAAUAUGAAUAAUUGAAUUGUGAUGAGAAAAUAAUAUAAAAUACAAAACAAAUAUGUUUCUAAUUUUUUAUGUUAAUGUUAAUAUUAUUAAUAUUUAUUUUAUUUUUUACCAAAACGGAAAUGAUAUGCAACAAAUUUAUUUUUAUACAACUAAUAUUAGUUUUUUUAUAAUUAGAUUUAAAAGAGCACAAACAUUAAUCUGAGCAAUAUCCCUACUAAAAUUUUGUAAAAUUUUCAAUCUCCUUAUGACUUUAUCCUUUAACUUCAUCCCCCAACCAAUCACCCAACUAAUUUUAUAUGACUUCUAACAUUUUUAAAAAAAUAAUUUAACAUUCAAACUAAAUCAAAGUCUAAAUAAAGAUAAAUUCAAGGUCUACUGUUGGAGUUCUCCUAGACCCAGUUGUUGAGAGACUCCAUGCUUUGGAAGAUAAAUUCAAGUCUUUGGAGGUUCACACUACUCCCGGCUAGGAUGUUGUUGAUAUGUGCCUAAUGCCAGGACCGGUGAUUCCCCGGAAAUUCAAAGUUCCAGAUUUUGACAAAUACAAAGGGAUCAGUUUCCCGAGAAGUCACCUCAGAGCUUAUUGUCGCAAGAUGUCGGUCCACAUCAAUAAUGAUCAACUCUUGAUUCAUUAUUUUCAAGAUAGCCUCAAUGGGGCAUCCUUGAAGUGGUAUAUGCAGUUAGAGAGGGGGAAAGUUCAGACAUGGAGAGACAUUGCAAAAUUUCUGAGGCAUUAUCAGUAUAAUACUAAUUUUGCACCCAACCGCACUCAGCUGCAAGACAGAACUCACCGCAGCAACGAGUCAUUCAAGGAAUAUGUCCAGCGAUGGAGAGUGUUUUUAGCUCGUAUCCAACCUCCUCUUAUUGACAAAGAGUUGAUUAACAUGUUUAUGGGGACUCUUCAUACCCAGUAUAUGGAGAAAAUGGUAGGAUAUAGCUUCCCAACAUUCUCUGAGGUCAUUUAUGUUGGGGAACGAUCUGAAAGCCAGGUGAAGAAGGGAAAACUACCAUGUGCUGCCAGUGCCUCAAGUGGAGGGAGGAAACCAUACACUAACUUCCUAAAAAAUACAAAAGGUCAGACCAAUGCCAUAAUGGGAAUAUGGGGAAGUAGAGCUCUGCCAUAUGCUCUCGUGCCUUACCAUUAAGUUGUUGGCAUCACGCCCACACCAUAUCAAUAGCCAUUUUAGCAUAAACAACCAUAUCAACAGUCGGCAUACCAACAAUAACCAUAUUAAUGGUCGACUUACCAACAACAAUAGCCAUAUCAACCACAAGGGUAUCAACAACAACACCAAAUCAACAAUAAUGUGUUCCACAACAACGUCAACCUAACCAACAAAGGGUAAGGAGGCCAGAAAGACAUUUUGAUCCUCUGUUUGUACCAUAUAUCCAGAUCCUUCCUUAUCUUCUAAAAGGUGGAUCAAUUACCUUGAAAGAGUUAACACCUUCAUUUCCCCCUUAUCCACCAGGCUAUGAUGAUAAUGUUCACUGCAAGUAUCAUAUAGGUUCCCUAGGAUACACAGUGGAGAAUUACAAGGCUUUGAAACAUAAAGUUCAAGACUUAAUUGACUGUAAGGUAAUCUCUUUCAUGCCAAUUAUCCCAAAUGCUGCAACAAACCCCACGUUGGUGAUGCAGGGUCGUUAGUAGAGAAUAGUAAACAACAUAAUUAAUUAGCGCAUAAUUCUGAGUUGACAUGCUUGAGGAGAAUUAGUUGCAGCUAAUCAUGGAUGUCUAAUCUCAAAAAUAUUCACACUGCUCGAGGAGAUCUCAACAGUCUGGCUCUUGAUUUCUGUGCUAGACAGUUGUCUAGAAGAUCCAAGGUCAGACGCUAGAGAGGCCACAUGUUGAUGUUUCUGACAUCAAGAAUACUAAGAGAUUUUUUAUUCAGGGGGUUUCUAAUUCAGAUUACAUCUAACUGGUAGAAGUAUCAGAACCAAAACCAGAUUCCAACAAUAGAUUUAAGUCAGAGCCUAUUUUGACACAUCAGAGAAGAAACACAAGUUUAGAAUCACUCUGGGCAUUCUGCCAUGUUUAGAUGUUUCUGAAUGAAGGAGAAUCUAUCUUCAAUUAAGGGUUUUGUGAAGAUAUCAGCCUACUAGUGCUCUGUAUCAAUGAAUGUUAAAGUUAUUACCUCUUUCUGAACAUAGUCUUUGAUAAAAUGAUGUUUAAUUUCUAUGUGCUUCACUCUGGAGUGCAGAAUAGGGUUCUUACUUAAACAUAUAGCAGUGGUAUUGUCACAAAAAAUAGGAAUGUUACUCUCAUAUAUCUGAAGGUCCUCUAGAUGAUUCUUCAUCCAGAGCAUAUGAGUGGUGCAUAAUGAAGCUGAAAUGUAUUUUGCUUUUGCAGUUGAGAAUACAAUGGUUGAUUGUCUUUUGCUAGCCCAUGAGAUGAGGUUUCCUCCCAGAAACUGACAGUUUAAAAAUAUGUUUUUGCCUUCCAAUUUGUCUCCAACGUAAUAUGCAUCACAAUACCCAGAAAAUCUAUACUCUAAUGUUUUCUUAUACAUCAGGCCCAGGUUAGGUGUUCCUUUCAGAUACCUUAGGAUUCUCUUAACAACAAUUACGUGAGAUUCUCUUGGAUCUGACUGGAAUCUGGCACAGAGACAAACGCUGAAUAAUAUAUAUGGUCAUGUAGCAGUCAAAUAGAUAAGAUAACCUAUCAUACCACAAUAUAGUUUCUGACAAACCUUUUGACUUACCUCUUCUUUCUCCAGAAUAAAGGUGGGGUGCAUAUGAGUCUUUGUUGGUUUGCUUUCUGUCAUUUCAAACUUCUUCAGAAUGUCUUUUAUGUAUUUGCUUUAAUAAACAUAAGUAGCAUUAAGUUUGAUUGAUUUGUAUUCCCAGAAAGAACUUUAGUUCUUGCAUCAGACACAUUUCGAAUUCAACCUGCAUUAGCUCAGAAAAUUCUUGAUAGACAGAGGGGUUAGCAGAACCAAAAAUUAUGUCAUCAACAUAUAUUUGAAAAAUCAUGAGGUCAUUUCUGAUGUUUUUACAGAAGAUUGUAAAAUCAACUUUACUUUUGAUAAAGUCAUUUUCCAUAAGGAAAGAACUUAGUCUUUCAUACCAAGCUCUGGGAGCUUGUUAUAGACCAUAAAGAGAUUUUAUUAGUUUAAACACGUGUUCUGGACAUUUUGAGUUUUCAAAACCAGGAGGUUGAUGAACAUACACCUCUUCAGAAAUAUAUCUAUUCAGAAAUGCACUUUUGACAUCCAUUUGAUAUAAUUUGAUGGAGUAAUUUACAGCAAAAGAUACAAAUAAACGGAUAGAUUCUAACCUGGCGACUGGAGAAAAGGUUUCAUUGUAGUAAAUACCUUCUUGUUGACUAUAACCUUGUGCCACCAGUCGUGCUUUGUUUCUGACUACUUCACCCUUUUCAUUCUGUUUGUUUCUGUACACCCAUUUGGUUCCGAUCACGUGGGUUCCCUUGGGUUUUGGUACAAGAUCCCAAACAUCGUUCUUUGCAAAUUGAUCAAGUUUUUUAUUCAUUUCCAUAAUCCAUUCUUUGUCUUGAAGUGAUUCUUCACAGGAUGUUGGCUCUAUCAGAGAUACUAGCCCCAUAAGAGUUUCUUCAGAACCUUUGAAGGUUGAUCUUGUUUUGACAGGUUCAUCUUUGUUUCCCAGAAUCCAUUCUUCAGAGAAAUUUUGUUUAUUUCUUGAUUUCUUCUGAUUGAAUGACUUUUCAUGUGCAUCUGACGUUUCUUUUUCUACUUCUUCAGGUUCUUUAGUUCUUUCGUCAGACCCUGCAAGUGUUAUCUCCAAAUCUGCAAAAUUUUCAACUAGCUUUUACUUUUCAGAGUCAAGCUUAUCAUCAAAUAUGAUAUGUAUUGAUUCUUACAUAAUUAAUGUUUUUGUAUUAUAUACUUUAUAGCCUUUAGAGCGUUCUGAGUAUCCCAACAUAAUACAUUUUUGUGCUUUGGAAUCAAACUUAUUCAGAUUAUCUUUAGUAUUUAGGAUAAAACCAGAACAUCCAAAAGGAUGAAAGUAGGAAAUGUUGGGUUUCCUUCCCUUACACAGUUAAUAAGGAGUCUUCUCCAUAAUAUGUCUAAUAGAGAUUCUAUUUUGAAUAUAACAUGUUGUGUUCACUGCUUCAACCCAGAAGUGUUUCACUACAUUUGUUUCAUUGAUCAUGGUUCUGGCCAUUUCUUGAAGAGUCCUAUUCUUCCUUUCUACAACUCCAUUUUGUGUGGAGUUCUAGGAUAGGAGAAAACAUGGGAUAUUCCAUUAGAGUCAAAAAGUUAUUCAAUUUUUUUUCAAAUUUUCCACCAUGACCACUUCUGACUCUGAUGAUUUUAGAGUCAAAUUCAUUUUGCACUUUUAUGCAGAAACGGGUAAACACAGAGUGUGACUCAUUCUUGUGUUUAAGGAAUUUUACCCAUGUCAAACGACUAUAAUCAUCAACAAUGACAAGUCCAUACUUCUUACCAUUGACAGAGGCUAUUUUCACAUGUCCAAACAAGUCAAUGUGAAGAAGUUCCAGAGGUUUAGAGGUAGAGACAACAUUUUUAUUUUUGAAAGUUAUUUUAGAGAAUUUUUCCUUUUGACAUGCCUCAUAAGGAGCAUCUGAAGAGAACUUCAGCUUAGGUAGGCCUCUGACUAACUCAAGUUUAUUUAGCUGAGAAAUCCUCCUCAUGCUAAUGUGGCCCAAGCAUCUAAGCUAUAGCCGUUGCUCUUCAUUUACAAACAUUAAACAUUUUACAUUUUGAUCUUUUAAAUCAGAAAUUUUUAUUUUGUAAAUGUUGUUCUUCCUCUUACCAGUGAAAAGAAUUGUGCCAUUUUUAUGAUUAAUAGCCUUGCAUGUUUUUUGAUUAAAGAUUAUACCAUAACCUUUAUCACUUAAUUGACUUAUGGAUAACAAGUUACGCAUUAAUCCUUCUAUGUAAAGAACAUCAGAAAUAGAGGGAAGAGAUCCAUUAUCAACUGUUCCAGAUCCUUUGAUUCUUCCUUUCUUAUUUCCUCUAAAGCCUACAAAGCCAACGUCUUUAAGUUUCAGGCUUUGGAACAUAUGCUUUCUUCCCAUCAUGUGUCGCGAGCAUCCAGAGUCCAAGUACCAUGAUUGGUGUUUUAACUCUAAUUCACAUGAUAUAUGCAACAUAUACUAUUUUAUCUUUUGGUACCCAGAAUCUUUUGGGUCCUUUAUGAUUAGUUCUCCCAGAGUUUCUGAAAACUUUGGGUUUUCUAGCAUUAUUAAAACUUUGUGUUUGUGCAUGUGUGCAAUGAUAUGAAAAAUGAGAUUUAGGCUUAUCCUCUGCAUAAGGUAUUUGCUCAUCUUUAUCAGAUUCAUAUCGAAUUCCUCUUUUCUUAUUGUGACUAACACCAUAAAUCAUAGAAUCCAUUUUGCUUCUUUUAAGCCUAUUUUUCAGGAAUUUCUAAAACGCCUUUUCAUAUUUAUAUAUGAUGGUGUUAGAAGUUUAUGGAGCUUUGGACAGAGUUUCUUUAAGUUUUAAGCAUUUUUUGGUUGAAAAUUCAUUUUCUUUUUCCAGGACAAAAAUGUUUUCUUUAAGUUCAGAAACUUCUGUUUCAAGCUUAUCACAUUCUUCAACAGUUUUUUCAUGGACCCUUUUUAGGAUCUUGAAUUUCUAUUGAAGCUUCUGAUAGGAGCUCAGAGAUUCAGAUAAACAGGCUUCUGGAUCAGAGCGAAAGAGAUCAGAAAAUACCUCUUCAGAGUCAGAUUCUCUUUCGAAUGAACUUCCAGAUAUGGAAUCCGUGAAUGCAACAUUUGCCUGUUCUAUUUCGGAGUCUGAUUCUGAGACAUCAAAUUCAGAGUCAUUCCAGGUAGCCAUGAGUCCCUUCUUGGUCUUGAAGGAGCUUUUCUUGAAUCCUUCUUUUCUGGAACUAUCUUUCUUGAGCUAUGGAGAUUCAUUUCUGUAAUGUCCUGAUUCUUUACAUUCAUAGAAAGUUACCUCUUUGCUUGGUCUACUUUUGGAGGUAGAUUCUGAGCGAUCUCCCUUCUGUCUAGGUCUUCUAAAGUUGUUGUUCCUUUUUCUCUAGAUUUUUUUAACUCUUCUGGAUAAAAGAGAUAACUCUUCUUCAUCAUCAAAAUCAUCUUUUUCAGAAUCAUCAUCGUCUUCUUCUUCAGCUUGAAAGGAUUUGUUCCUUUAUCGCUUUCGUCUUUCUGAUCAGGACUUCAGAGCCAUUGAUUUGCUUUUCUUUUGAGGCUCGUCUUCCUCUAGCUCUAUUUCAUGACUCCUAAGGGAGCUGAUGAGUUCUUCUAGGCGUAUGUUGUUCAGAUCCUUUGAUAAAUUCAAGGCAGUGACCAUAGGUCUCCACUUCUUUGGCAGAAUUAUGAUAAUCUUUUUUACAUGAUUUACAGUUGUGUAGCCUUUGUCCAAACUCUUGAGUCCUGCAAUUAAAGUUUGAAAUCUAGAAAACAUUACCUCUACACCUUCAUCAUCCUCCAUUCUGAAGGCUUCAUAUUUUUGGAUCAGGGCCAGAGCCUUAGUCUCUUUGACUUGAUUGUUGCCUUCAUGAGUCAUCUUUAAGGAAUCAAAUAUUUCUUUAGCUGUUUUCCUGUUGGUGAUCUUUUAAUAUUCAUUGUAGGAUAUGGCAUUCAACAAAAUCGUUCUGGCUUUAUGAUGAUUUUUGAAGUCACGCUUCUGAUAAUCACUCAUUGUGUUUCCAGCAAUGACAACUCCAGGAGCAGAUACGGGUGGUUCAUAGCCAUUUGUAACAAUGUCCCAUAAGUCAGCGUCAUAGCCUAGGAAGAAGCUUUUGAUUAUGUCCUUCCAAUAAUCAAAUUUCUCUCCAUCGAAGAUUGGAGGUUUUGCAUUGUAGCUAUCUCUUUCAUUUGUGGUAGUCAUAAUUUUUUUCUCACGCUGGAUCUCUCUACACUAUUAAGUGUUUGAUUUGAAAAUCAAUAACAGAUCUGAAGCUCUGAUACCAAUUGAAGGUAGAGAAAAACAAGAAAGUGGGGUUUGAAUUAUUUUCACAGACAAUAAAAACUUUUGGAGUUUCUACACACACACACAAAUUAAAGACAAAAUAACACAGAAGUUAUCCUGGAUCGCUUAAAAUUCAAAGCUACUCCAGUCCACCCUAUCAAGGUGAUUUCGCCUUAAAAAAGGACUUAAUCCAAUAAUUUAGAAAGAUUUCAACAACGUCUAAGAGUACAAUGAUCUCUUAGCCCUCUCAAGUCUCCAGACUUCACAAGUCACUUGAGGAACCUCACAAAAUCUAUUUUAGAAAUACAAGAAAGUGUUUAGUGCUUCUAGGUAAGCAAUAUUAACACAAUUAAAGUAUAGAGUUUCACACUAAGAGCAACAACUCUUGUGAUAGUGUAAAAAAAUAAUUAGUAUGAUGAAUUUUGAUGUAUUGAGUUCUUAUAGGAUAGCUUCGUGUCUUGGUAUGGUGAUGGUUGGGCCUUUUUAUAAUGCUUGGAGAUGAUACAGUUGAAUGUAACAUUGAUGUUGAUAUCUUAUCCAUAAUGAGAUUUAAUAACAUUAAUUUUGUUGUCCUUUCCAUAGCAGUUUUAGGAGAGUAUUCAAAUUUCUCCAUAAAUAAGUUUAUACCAUUUUCGGAAUACUUUGUUGUUAAGUCUUGAUCUGAUUUAUUGGGCAUGAAUCAGAGUGCGCGGAAUUCAGAUACUUCUCUUAGAUCUUGUAUUCUUCAGAUAGUUGGCUGAGGUUUUCUUUAGGGGUUCUUUAUUGAUUUCUACUUUGACAUUCUUAAGAUGUAAAAAUCAUAGAGAAUACAGGUGUGGGAUUCUUCAGAUGCAGAAUGUCAAAGUCUUCAGAUGUUAGAGCGAGUAGUUUUAACUUCAAGUCAAUUGUUCUGGACUUAUGUGACGUUAGAUGUUGUUUCAUCAGAUUCAUUUUUCGUUAGAGCCCUGUACACUUAGAGAAUUUUAUUAGGGUACCAAAAUGUCUCAUCCUUUGUUAUCAUCAAAAUAUAGAGAAAAGUUGCAGAACCAAAAUCUUGUUUUAACAAUCUCCCCCUUUUUGAUGAUGACACAACUUCAUACUGUUGAUGAAACAAUGAUACUUCAUAACAAUUAAAGGAAGGUAAUUUCAGAGUCAGAUAUACUAUGGCUCCCCCUGAGACAAGCAAGGUCCCCAUGAAUCUGAUACUUUAGAAAGUUUAGAGUUUCUUACCAGAGCCUCUUACAUUACUCAUCUUCUUUCUCAGAUGUUUUACUCAGAUACUUCCUGCAAGAACUUAGACUGCACAAAAUAUUUAGAUGUUUGGAAUGUAAGUAGUGCAUUAUGAGGUUUAGAUAUUAAUUUCAUCAUAAGCCUGUUUAUUUAUUUCUCCCCCUUUUUGCCUGACUCAAAAAGAUAAACAAGUAACAGAUAUAGCAAGACAAAACUUCAUUGGAUAAAGAAAACAGGUACAAAUGAGGAAAACGAACUUAGAAGCUAAAAACACUUAGAAGAAUAAAAAACACAUCGGAAAUCCUAAGGUACCUAAGUGUUGGUUCUAUGUGUUGGCAUCAAUUUUGGUAAAACUUAGAGUUAUCACAAGUUGUCACGCGUGUUGUCUUGACAUGUGAUAUCAGCUUCCUGCAGGAUGUUUAAAUAUGGUUGUGCAGGAUUUAAUGUUGGUUCUAUGUGUUGGCAUCAAUUUUGGUAAAACUUAGAGUUAUCACAAGUUGUCACGCGUGUUGUCUUGACAUGUGAUAUCAGCUUCCUGCAGGAUGUUUAAAUAUGGUUGUGCAGGAUUUAGUCAAGAUGUUGGACCCGAUGUUAAGAAAUAUGCACAUAGAACAUUCAGUAUGAAUGUUAUAUGUUUUGUUGUUGCAUUUUUCAUGUAAAUCUUUGUGUGCUUAUGUGGAGUUUGCAUGCGCUAUUCAAGGAGUAAUUCUAUUUAAAACCAGAAUGAUCUAUUUUACAAAAAGGAAUGAUUAGCUGUUAUUUCUUAGGAGAUAUGAAAUUAAAAUAGAAUUAGGGUUUCAUGAUGCCCAGGCCCAUUCAAGAGCUUCUAUUUAAAGGCCAUGUAAAACCUGUUUUAGACACACAAGAUACGAACGAAGAAGUGAUAGAGUUUUAGGGUUUUAGUCUUGUGUGAGCUUAUGUAUUGUGAGCCAUUCAUUCAUCUUGUUGAUGUAUGAAUUGGAUUGAGUUUUGUGUUGUAAUUUGUCCACUCUAAGCUUUGAAGUACGAGUGUUUGUUUACUUGGUUGAAGCUUUUAAGCAAGAUUAAGUAUGUGUCCUUGAAGUGUGUCUUCUUUCUAUUAUAUUUAUUUUUAUAUCACUGUUGUGAUUGAGGGGGAGUGAGUAGGGUCUCAUAUCUAAGAGUUCUUAGAUAGAAGUCACACGGGUAGAGAUUAGGUGAAAAGACUGUAACUUGAAGUUAUUUACUGAGAGUCUAGUGAGUAGGGUCUCAUAUCUAAGAGUUCUUAGAUAGAAGUCACACGGGUAGAGAUUAGGUGAAAAGACUGUAACUUGAAGUUAUUUACUGAGAGUCUUUGAACUAAUUCUGUUUAGUGGAUUUCCUUUCUGGCUUGGUAGCCCCCAGACAUAGGUGAGUUUGCACCGAACUAGGUUAACAAUUGCAUGUGUCACUUGUUCAAUUAUUUCUCUAUUUUUAUCGUGUUUAUAUUGCACUUGUUGUUCAGAUAUUAGUGUCGUGACAUUACCUUCGACAUCUCAUAUCUGAUACUAGAAUUUCAAUUGGUAUUAGAGCAGGCAUCCUGCUCUAAUUCUGGGUGAGAUCUUGGGACGUUACUUUCUGGUACUAUGGAUAGAAACGGAGGAUCGGUACACAGACCACCAAUUCUGGAUGGAUCUAACUAUGACUACUGGAAACCCCGAUUGGUAGCCUUCUUGAAAUCUUUGGAUAAUAAGGCUUGGAAGGCUGUUCUAACAGGUUGGGAACAUCCCUUCACUGCGAAGGAAGGAGAAGUUACAACUGAUAAGAAGCCUGAGGAAGAAUGGACCAAGGAGGAGGAUGAACUAGCUCUUGGAAACUCUAAAGCAUUGAAUGCUAUAUUCAAUGAAAUGGACCAAGGAGGAGGAUGAACUAGCUCUUGGAAACUCUAAAGCAUUGAAUGCUAUAUUCAAUGGGGUUGAUAAGAACAUCUUCAGACUGGUGAACAACUGUGAGGUGGCUAAAGAUGCUUGGAACAUUCUCAAAACCACUAAUGAAGGUACCUCUAGAGUGAAGAUGUCUAGAUUGCAGCUGCUUACUACUAAGCUUGAGAAUUUGAGGAUGAAAGAAGAUGAAAGUAUUCAUGACUUCCAUAUGAAUAUCCUUGAAAUUGCUAAUGCCUCAGGAGUCCUGGGUAAGAAGAUGUCAGAUGAAAAGCUUGUGAGGAAAAUUCUCAGGUCACUUCCCAAGAGAUUUUCCAUGAAAGUGACAGCCAUAGAAGAAUCUCAAGAUAUCUGCAAGAUGAGAAUGGAUGAGCUAAUUGGAUCCCUCCAAACAUUCGAGUUAGGAAUGAGUGAUGGAUCUAAUAAGAAAGUCAAAAACAUAGCCUUUAUGUCAAAAACUGAAGAUAAAUAGGAAGAAAGUAGUUAGGAUACUGAUGAAGGUCUGGCAAAUGAUUUAGCAUUACUUGGGAGACAAUUCAACAAAAUCCUGAAGAGGAUGGAUGUGAGGUCAAAGUCUAAUGUCAAGAACAACUCGUUUGACAUCAGUAGGCCCAAUGAUGCUGGAAGAAGAACAAAAUCUGAGGAAAAAUUCAAACAGUGCAAAGGAAUUCAGUGCCAUGAAUAUGAAGGGUAUGCAUACAUUAGAGCUGAAUGUGGGACCUAUCUCAAGAAACAGAAGAAGAGUCUUGCUGCUACUUGGUUUGAUGAGAAUUCUGAAAGUGAAACAAAAGGAGAAUCUACCAAUCUUGUGACUGCCUUGACUGGGAGAUGGGAUUCUGAUGAAGACUCCAGUGAUGAUGAAUUAACCUUUGAUGAAUUAGCUACUUCUUACAGGAAGUUGUGCUUCAGAAGUGAAGAAAUGUGUCAACAAGUGGAGAAUCAGAAGAAACUGAUAACUCAGCUAGAGGCUGAGAGGACAGAGCACUUAGAGGCCAUCUCUAAGUUGAAGAUUGAAGUUGUGUUCCUGAAUUCCAAACUAGAUGAGAUGACAAAGUAUGUCAGAAUGCUAAACAGUGGAUUUGACACCUUAGACAAAAUCCUUCAGGCUGGAAAAAUGGAAGGAGACAUGACUGGCCUUGGGUUCAAUGAAUCCUCUCCUGACUGUAGUCCCACUGGUAGCAAACCAAAGAUGUCACAUCAGGUGUCUCAACAUCACAAUGAAAGACAACAUAAAGGAAAACACCAAAGAUGGAGAUGUCAUUACUGUGGGAAAUUUGGUCACAUAAAACCAUUCUGCUUUAGGUUGUAUGGUUAUCCUAGUCCUACUCAUCAACCUAGACCCAAACAAAAAAGGAAAACACCAAAGAUGGAGAUGUCAUUACUGUGGGAAAUUUGGUCACAUAAAACCAUUCUGCUUUAGGUUGUAUGGUUAUCCUAGUCCUACUCAUCAACCUAGACCCAAACAACACAUCCCUGAUAACAUAAAAUAGUGGAUUCCUAGGACUGGUGCUACUAACUUAAUAGCUCACACUUCCUUCAGAGUCUCAGCCAAAGAAGAUUGGUACUUUGACAGUGGAUGUUCCAGACACAUGACUGGAAACAAAAACCUGUUGGUUGACCUUCAAUCCCAUGUCACCAAUUAUGUAACAUUUGGUGAUGGAGCAAAGGGUCAAAUCAAGGGGAUUAGAAAGCUAAACUGCCCUGGAGUUCCUAACCUUGAUAAUGUGUUGCUUGUUAAAGAAUUGACUGCAAAUCUAAUAAGCAUCAGUCAACUAUGUGAUCAAGGUCUAAAUGUGAACUUCACAAAAACGGAAUGUUUGAUUACUAAUGCAAAAAUUGAGGUGAUCAUGAGAGGAGUCAGAUCUAAGGACAACUGCUAUAUGUGGAUUCCUCAAGAAACUAGUUAUUCAUCCAUAUGUGCUCUAGCUAAAGAAGAAGAAGUGAAACUAUGGAAUCAAAAACUGGGUCAUCUGCAUCUUAAAGGAAUGAAGAGGAUCAUAUUUGUUGAAGCUGUCAGAGGAAUCCCAAAAUUAAAGAUUGAGGAAGGAAGAGUUUAUGGUGAAUGUCAGAUUGGAAAGCAGACAAAGAUGUCACAUCAGAAUAUCAAACAUGACACCACAUCUAGAGUACUGGAACUUCUCCACAUGGACUUGAUGGGACCUAUGCAGGUGGAAAGUCUUGGUGGGAAAAGGUAUGCUUAUGUUGUGGUGGACGACUUCUCCAGAUAUACCUGGGUGAAUUUUAUAAGGGAAAAACCUGAUGUGUUUGAUGUGUUCAAAGAUCUUUGACAAAGACUUCAAAGAGAAAGAGAGAGUCAUGUUAUCAAAAUCAGGAGUGAUCAUGGGAAAGAAUUUGAGAAUAGUAAAUUUGUUGAAUUCUAUUCAUCUUAAGGGAUUAGUCAUGGGUUCUCUUCUCCCAUUACCCCUCAGCAAAAUGGUGUGAUAGAAAGGAAAAAUAGAACUCUACAAGAAUCUUCUAGAGCUAUGAUUCAUGCUAAGAAGUUGCCUUACCACUUCUGGGCCGAAGCUAUGAACACGGCCUGUUAUGUUCACAACAGAGUAACAUUGAGAAAAGGGACUUCAACCACUUAUAUGAAGUCUGGAAGGGAAGAAGACCUACUGUCAAAUACUUCGAUGUGUGUUGGUAGUAAAUGCUAUAUCCUGGCUGAUCGUGAACAAAGAAGGAAAAUGGACCCCAAGAGUGGUGAAGGAAUAUUUCUGGGCUACUCAACAAACAGCAUAGCCUUUAGAGUGUUUAAUUCCAGAACAAAAGUUAUGAUGGAGUCUAUCAAUGUUGUUGUUGAUGAUUAAGAGACUGAUGUCAUAGACGAUGUUGAAACAUGUCUGAAUGAUGCCCCAUCUGACCUCCUGGACAAAAGUAGUGAGAGUGAGUCCACUCAAGCUGAACCUGAAGCUGAUAAAGUUAAUAAGGGACCCUCUAUCAGAAUUCAGAAGGAUCAUCCUAAAGAUCUCAUUAUAGGAGACUCAAAUAAAGGGGUCACCACUAGAUCAAGGGAAGUGAUCUCACACGCUUGUUUUGUGUCCAAGAUUGAGCCUAAGAAUGUUAAAGAAGCAUUAACUUAUGAAUUCUGGAUCAAUUCCAUGCAGGAAGAGUUAGGCCAAUUCAAGAGAAAUGAAGUAUGGGAAUUGGUUCCAAGACCUGAAGGAAUAAAUGUUAUUGGAACAAAUUGGGCUUAUAAGAAUAAAUCUGAUGAAAAAAGGUAUGGUUACUAAAAAUAAAGCAAGAUUAGUAGCACAAGGAUACACUCAAGUUGAAAGAGUUGACUUUGAUGAAACAUUUGCCCCUGUAGCUCGCCUAGAGUCCAUUAGAUUAUUGCUAGGAGUGGCAUGUAUAAUGAAGUUUAAACUGUUCCAAAUGGAUGUGAAAAGUGCCUUCUUAAAUGGCUACUUGAAUGAGGAAGUAUAUGUUGAACAACCUAAGGGAUUCACAGACCCAAAUCUUCCAAAGCAUGUGUAUAAGUUGAGGAAAGCUCUCUAUGGGUUGAAACAAGCUCCUAGAGCUUGGUAUGAGAGACUCACAUUGUUUCUCAUUGAUAAUGGAUACAUAAAGGGAGGCAUUGAUAAGACUUUAUUUGUCAAAGAUGAAGGAGGAAAGCUCAUGGUGGCUUAGAUCUAUGUGGAUGAUAUUGUGUUUGGUGGGAUGUCAAGUAAGAUGGUUCAACAUUUUGUUGAGCAAAUGCAGUCUGAAUUUGAAAUGAGCCUUGUUGGAGAACUAACUUAUUUUCUUGGCCUGCAAGUCAAGCAGAUGGAAGAUUCUAUCUUUCUAUCUCAAAGUAAAUAUGCCAAGAAUAUUAUUAAGAAGUUUGGCAUGGAUAAUGCAAGCCACAAGAGGACACAUGCUCCUACUCAUCUGAAAUUUUCUAAAGAUGAAAAUGGUGUCAGUGUGGAUCAAAGUCUCUACAGAAGCACGAUAGGGAGUCUGCUAUAUCUUACAGCAAGCAAACCUAACAUUGCUUUUGUUGUAGGUGUUUGUGCUAGAUAUCAAGCUGAACCAAAGGUGAGCCAUAUAAACCAAGUGAAAAGAAUCCUAAAAUAUGUCAAUGGCAUUUGUGAUUAUGGGAUGCUAUACACUCAUGGAUCUGAAUCUGUGCUAUCUGGAUAUUGUGAUGCUGAUUGGGCUGGAAGUGCUGAUGAUAGGAAAACACAUCAGGAGGAUGCUUCUUCUUGGGGAACAAUUUAAUAUCAUGGUUUAGUAAGAAGAAAAAUUGUGUUUCUCUGUCUACUGCUGAAGCUGAAUACAUAGCAACUGGAAGUAGUUGUUCUCAACUGGUGUGGAUGAAACAAAUGUUGAUUGAAUACAAUGUCACGCAAGAUGUCAUGACAUUGUACUGUGACAACCUGAGUGCUAUGGACAUCUCAAAGAAUCAUAUUCAGCACAGCAGGACAAAACACAUUGAUAUUCGUCACCAUUUUAUUAGAGAACUAGUGGAGGAUAAGAUUGUAGCCUUAGAGCAUGUUGCUACUGAGAUGCAGUUAUCUGAUAUUUUUACAAAGGCCUUGGAUGCAAAUCAGUUAGAAGUCCUGAGAGGAAAAUUAGGGCUUUGCAUUUACGAAGACUUGUAGCAAUUAAUAUGGAGCGGGAAAAGUAAGCAAAGUAGUGUUUAUGUGGCUAAAAUAAAAUCAUCACCUAGUUUUGGAAAUAUCAUCUAUUACGUCCUCACACGCUACCCCCACAACCUUACUACCUCCUCUAACUCUUCCAUCUUCAUGCUCCUUCCUCACACACCUCUGCUAGGGCAGCUGCAUUUUUUUCACAAAAAUUCCAAAAUGUCACAACAUCAAAAUACUCUUGCUACUAAGUCUACUCAAAAUGUUAGCGCUCCUUCCAUGGACAUUCCAGGUGAUAAGAUUCUGGAUGUAGUUCCUCUAUCUAUUAUUUCCUGUGAGGCCCUUGAUUUGAACCAUCCCAUGGAUGCCUCAGCUUCUGCAUGCCCCAAACAAGGUAACAUAUCUAGUAUCUCUUUUGGCUCAACUCCUGCCACUAGCUCUAAGGAAGAUAUACACCACAUUGAUCGUGUCAUAAGAAACCUAGUCACUAUAAUCCUUAAUGAAGGACAUUCUGUGAAGGGAGUCUCUACUCCUCUGUCUAAAAUGUACCCCUCUCCUGAGGUUGAACAACAUAGUGAGAAGAAUGAUGAUUCCUCUAGUUUUGAGAAGGACAUGGUUGCUGAAGGUUUGUGCUCUCUAGGGAAAACUGUGCCUGGUAAAGGAAAAUCUGUGGCAUCUAAAACUGCCAAUGCUUCCCACUCUGAGAAGCUUGAUGAUGCAAACGAUGUGAUUGACCUAGAGGAUGAUAGGUCUGAUGACCAAGAGGAUAGCUUACUUCAUCACUUAAAGCCAAGUGUGGCUAAACGUAUGAAAACUCGAAAAGGAAGAUCUAUGGCUGAACUUAUUUCAGCUAGAAAAACUAAGAAGACUGCUGGUAUUGGUCCCUCCAAAUCUUGGAGCAAUGUUGAAGUGAAGAAGAGGAAGGUUAGAGAAGAUUCUGAAUUUGAAGAGGAUGUUGAGGAAGAUGUCCCUGACAUCUCUCCUGUGAAGAAAACCAUUGUGAGGAAGUCUCCUGUCAAAGUUAUUGUUGUGCAUUUGGGUAAUAUCUCUUUCCAUCUUGAGGAUGGAGCUGCCAAAUGGAAAUUUGUGAUUCAAAGAAGGGUGGCUGUGGAAAGGGAGUUGGGAAAGGAUGUUGCUGAAAUCAAGGAGGUCAUGAACCUGAUAAAGGCUGUUGGGUUAUUGAAGACUGUGACUGGGUUCUCUCAGUGUUGUUAGGGUUUAGUUAAGGAAUUCAUUGUCAACAUUCUUGAGGAUAUUGCUGAUAAGAACAGCAAGGAAUUUUGCAAGGUGUUUGUGAGAGGUAAGUGUAUCACAUUCUCUCCCACUGUUGUUAACAAUUUUCUAGGAAGAAAAGUUGAGGGUGCAAGUGAAUUGUAAGCUACAGACAAUGAAGUCUGUAGAGAAAUUACAGCUAGGCAAGUGAAAGGGUGGCCUAUUAAAAAGCAUCUUCCUGCUGGGAAGUUGACUGUCAAGUAUGCUAUAUUGCAUAAAAUAGGAGCUGCAAAUUGGGUGCCUACCAACAAUACUUCCAUAAUUGCUAAUACCCUUGGAAGAUUUAUUUUUGCUGUUGGAACCAAAAUGAAUUUUGAAAAUGGUAGAUUUAUGUUUGAACAAAUCAUCAAGCAUGCAUCUACUAAUGCAAUUAAGCUGCCUAUUGCCUUUCCCUCUAUGAUUUGUGGGAUUAUCCUAAAUCAACACCCUGGAAUUCUGAGUUCUAAUGACUUACCUAGUAGAAGAAAACUUGCUCUGUCUGUGCAUUAUAAACUGUUUGAAGGCAGUCAUGUCGAAGAUAUUGUCAUGACACCUGCCAUGAAAAAGCCAGCCUCAAAAGUUGGAACAAUUGUUGAGCUUAAGGAGACUUGUAAAGAGCUAGGUGAAGGGAUAAGGGUAGCAACAGCUAGGAAACAAUCGUUGGAAGCCUUGAUUGCAAGCUUGGAGCAAGCUGAAGGUGAAAAUAUUGAACAUGUUAAGGAAGUUGAAGCCCACACCUCUAGUGAGAGGUCUGCAGAUAAUGAUGAGACAAGUGGCAAUUAUGUUUCUGGUGCUGAAAGUUUUCAAACCAAAACUAAUAAAAUGUUAGAGAUCACGGGUAAGGGGGUUGGUUACCCAUAGGAAAGGUAUUCGCACCCAAAGUGUCCUAGGUACUCCUAGGGAACCCUCUUUUGUGUGCAAGUGUUUUAGUUGAAAAGAUGUUUGAUAAAAAAUAUAGAUUGGGGGGAUGAGAAAAGAAUUUGAUUAAUAUAUUUUUGUGUUUGACAAGACCUUCGGUCUUAUGCCUACAUACCAACAUAAAAAUGAGGAAUCAAAUCCCCGUAAUUCAUGGUAAAAAUUUCAAAGAAAUUGGUGGAUUGGUUUUAACAAAAGUUUAAAAGAAAAGAGCACAAAAUGUCAAAGACUUAAAUGAGGUUGUUAGUUUUUUUUGUCUUUAUGAAAUUUAAGUCAAUAUGAUUAAGUUUAUUUACAAGUUUGAUUAAGAAAAUGUUUCAAAAUCAAUGACAUAAGGCCAAAGUUUCUACUUAUUAAAACAAGUCUAAGUUGAAAACACAAACAAAAAAGUUUUGAAAUGAGGGGGAGAUUUUUGAAAUUUAAGAAGGAAAUGAGGCGAUGAAGAGACUAUCCUAGACAUAAAUUUAAAAGUUUAUAGUUGAAAAGAUCUUACCAAUGGGAUGCAAUCCACAAGACAAGAAUGUCAGAUAGAAACCCAUUUCCUUUGGACUAUUAAGCGAGCUACAAGCAUUAGCAAUAUCCAAGAAAUUAAUAUGAAGACCAAGGCAUCAAAUAAAGAUAGACAAUAACAUCCAAGCAAGCAUUCCAAGAGCAAGCAGUCUUCAAUGUCUUCAAAUGUGUCAAAUAAAAUAUUCCUUAUGGCAAACUCAAAGAAACAAUCAUCAGACACCAAUAAUAAUAACAGUAUAACAAUUUAAGCACAGAGACAAAGUAACAUAUGAACCAAGGGAACUCAAGGCUUGCAUCAGAUGAGAAGCACAUUAAAGGAUAGCUCAGUCUCAUAUAAUGGCAUUGGCCAAGUCCUUCAAAGCAUAGGGAUGCUUCUUACUCUAAGUCCAAAAGUUUAAAUCAAGUCCAAAGGAGAGGUCCAACAGUCCACCAACAUAUUUUGUAGGGUUUUUGUUGUUAUUAGGUAUUUUAAGAUCCUAAGACCACAAACAAAACAAAAUCACAAGCACAUAAUAUACACAAUCACAAAGAUCUGGCUCAAAUGAGCAAAGUGAAGAUGACUGAAACAUAAACAAGUUGCAUGAAAUGUAAAUGGCAAUGAAUGAUAAAGGUGCUAAAAUUCAAAUUACAUUAAGUAAAUGACAUAAAAGUAAAGCAAUAAUAAAGGAAGUUAGUCAAAUGUCAGUGAAGGAUUUAAUUGCUUAUGUCAUUCCUUGGAGAGUACUCAACCAUCCAUUCACAAGUAUGAAGACAUGAACCAAGACGUCAUCUAUGAGAAGGGCUCCAACUUGGAUAAAUCAACAAGUAUGCCACUAGCUAUCACAAAUGGAAAAAAGGUUAAGUCUUCACAUAAUUCCAUGAAGAAUGGGAGACUUACAAUCUCACUUACAAGAAUGUUAUGCCUUUGGGACACAAUUUAGAUCGAUGUUAGGCAAUCGUAAUUGGACUUAUGUAGAAGUCACAACUAUUUGAGGAUGGGCAAUAAAAUUUUUGGUGUUAAUGCAUGCUAGAGACAUGGUAUAAAGAACCAAGAUCCUAAAGCAUACCACACACAAAAAUAAAAUGGGAGGGACCUAUCUCAACCAAGCUCAUUUUGAUUCAUCUAACACAAGGCCAUUGAUGAAUCAACUAGCAUUUGGAUUGUAGAUAAAUCAUUGGUCAAUGAUGGAUUGGGGAAGAAGAGGGAUGAAGAAGAAGAGGGAGAGGGAAGUGGAAAUCCAAACUGAUCAUAAGAGGAAUUUCAUCUGAUUAAUACUAUCCAUUCAUUUUGAGGGAUGAAGUGUACACUUCACCAACCCCCUAAAUCCAAUAGUAUUGAUUAAAUAGAAGUUCAAGUCAACCAUUAUCAAGACAAAACAUAAGAUGAAACAUCACAAGGUCAACCAAAUGGCUCAACAAUACUUUUAAAUAUUUAAACAAUUAAAAAUCAAUUUAAAAAAUGAAUAAAAUGCAUUUUUAAAAUGGGAUAAACCUCAAAUCCCUUCAAAUCACCAAAUAAAUGGCCAAGGGAUUUAUCCUAGGUUAAACAAGGUCAAAGGACCUUAGACAAAAAAAUUGAGAACUUUUGGAAAGUCUUAAGUAUUUAAAAACAUUUUAAAAACAAGUCAAAAACUAUUUAAUUUAAAAAAAUAUCAAAAUUAAUCCAAAAAAUGAUUUUAAUUCAAAAUAUGGGAGAGGAAAAUAUUUGAAGAUUUGUGGUGAAAGUCCCAUAUUUUUUGAAUAAAAAAUGAAUUUAUUAUGAAUUAAACAAAAUAAGUUAAUUAAAAUUUAAAAUCAGAAAUUAAAACAAAUGAGAAAAGAACAAGGGUCAUCAAAUCUCCCUCAUUAAUGAGGUGGCAGAUCUGAUGGCCACGCAUGUGCAGUCCACCAAAGACCCUGGUCAACGCGCUGCAAGAGUGGUAGUCAAAAUGGAUGAUCAGGAUUAGAACACAUGGCAAGGAUCAGAUGGCCUGGGAUGUUCCAGCGCAGCACCGGAGCCCUAGCUCCGACCAUCUUCUCUGGUGGAUCUCACUGGACUGGUCCACCUUCAAAGUUCACCAAAAUUGAAGAUCCAUAUACCAAUUUAAAGAGAAAAUGAUGGAGAGCACGAAUUUGGCCUCCAUUUUUCCCAAAUCACAUAUACAAGAAGAUAUGUAGAAUUGAAUAAUGAGGUGGAUGAACUAGUUACUUCGAUUUGACCUCAAAGCAACUCAAUCUUGUUUCCUACAUUGGUAGGACUUCAGGCAACCAAAAAUCAAGAGAAAUGAUGGAGAAUUGAGGGAGAACCGAAGAAGGAAAGUUUCACAAAAUUCACCUUCUGUUUGCACUCAGAUAGCUCGAUCUUGAUCUCAAUUUUCUUGGGCUUGCUUCUACCAACUUGCAGGAAGUGAUUAGGAUGCAAAAAAAUCUUGAACCCUUGGAGUUUCAAUCCCAAAACAUAAGGGGAAUUAAAACUCUAUUUCAAUAGAAAUCCUCAAGGUGUUCUAUCAAUGGAAGGUGGGAGUAUUUGCAGAUCAAAUUUUGGGUCAAGGGUCCUCAAUAUUGAGGCAAAUGAGUUGUAUUUAUAGGCUUGCAAGUUGAUUUUCCACACACUUCCAAAAUUUUGUCAAAAAUAGAAAUUAUUGUGCAUGGUUGCAUAAGCAUGCAACAAGGCACAAAAUAUGAUUGAAAUGAGUCCAAAACUAUGCACGAGUGAUGCUGAAAUCAAUUCAUGAGACCAUGCAUUACACCCAUGUGCAAGUCCCUAAAAAAUAAUCCAAAUGCCAUGAUCUUGGACUCUUUGGAAAGCUAGCAUGAAGGGGAACAAAUUUUAUGUUGAAACUUUUCCAUUUAGAGCUUGGAUCAUGGUGAAUUUUUAUGUGGAAGUUGGAAGAAUCAAACAUAGUUGAAAAUUUUCUAAGUUAAAAGUCAAAUGACCACUUUUUCCACCUCGAAUAACUUUUGCUAUGAGCUUCAAAUAGCUUUAGUUCCUUCUUCAAAGUUUUAGAUCUUUCAAUCAUAUUAAAUUUGGUCAAAAAUUUGAAACCAUUUGUAUAAUGAAUAAGGGACUUAUGUAUUUUAGAAGUUGAGGAAAAUUGCUUGUUCAAUGAUGAUGGCCCAAAAUGACCUAUAAUGUUUCCUCUUGACACAUGCCCUUGCAAGUGAAAUUUGACCUUUAUCAAAGAAGAAAUGUUGGAAAAGACAACUUGAAAUUGAUCAUGAAACUUGGAUGGACUUCAUAUAACAAAAAUUGAGCAAGUUAUGGUUCUUGGAAGUUGACCUUCUAUCUAGGGCAUAAACAAAAUGACCUAUAAUCUUUCACAAUAAAACAUGACUUUACAAGAAAAAUUAGCUCUUGAUGUCAACAUAAAAGUUGUUUGUAAUGCCAUAAAGAGUAACUUUUCUCUUGGAACAAUUUUCAUAUGACAAAAAUUGUAGGAGAUAGGGUCUAGGGAACCCUAGAUUUGAGCAGUUGACUUCUCUAGUCAACCUCUUUAAACCAACUUGCAAACUUGAAUUCUUUUGAUCUUUGGGGAUCAUGGAGAAUCAUAUAUGCUUAUGAUUAAGUACAAUGGAGUAUCCCCUGAUGAUGUUUGAUCAUAUUUUGAAGAAACUUGUUGAGGAAGGCACACAAGAUACGCAGAUGAGUUAGGGCUUCCAAGACAAACAAGCUUCAAACUCUUGAUGAGGUCUUGAUCAAAAUGACAAAUAAAGAACAAGGGGACCCAUAUAUGAUGAUUUGAACCAUUUUUAACCUUUUUUAACUUGAUCUUUUGCACUGAGGGACUCAAACCCUAUAUAUGAGUUUGAUGAGGCAUAGGUGGAUGCACACACUACCUACAAACGACAUAACACUAUACUAGACAUAUUUUUGGUAUUUUGGUUAGUAAACAAACAAAAACAAAGUAUGAUACAAUCAAAUAUGUUUGGUGAUCUCUCCCAAUGCAAACCCAAUAAAUGAGGGGUGAGGAGGAUACCAAGGUGUGAUCCCAAAGCCAAUGCAAAUGAUGAGAUGGCAUGAGGGAUCUUAGGGUUUAAAUUGGGAUCUUACAAGAGUUACUUGUGAAGAUCUUGUUAUUUCUUAAAUACAAUCUAACUCCCUCUUCCUCCACUCAUGCUUUGGCGGUCUUCUCAACCCGCCUUAGCCUUUUUAUUUUUUGUUUCUUUUCUUGUAUGUCUUUGUUUUUCUAGUUCCUAUAAUAUUUUGUAUCUUUUGAGAUCCAAUGCUUCAGAUGUGUUUGUUGUUGUGAAAUAUAUGACUUGUCAAACAUUUCCAAUUAAUAAAUGUAUCUUGUAAGUUAUUAUAUCAAAAAUAGUACUUGUGUUUCAAGGUUGGAUCAUUUAUGUAUUCCUUUGUAAUUUUAUUUUGCUUAAGACUUGUAUGUUCAAAUUUUUAGUCUAAUUUGAUGUAUUCUUUCUUAGCCACUAAUUGUACGAACAAAGCAAUUUCUAUAGUUAAUCGGUUGUAUCAAAUGAAUCUAAUGAAAAAGAAAUAUCAAGUUAAAAGCGAUGUGCUUUCUUUCUGAAUUCUGAACUUCUUAAUCAGUUUACAUUAAAGGAAAUAAUUAUGAUUAAACGGAUGGUAUGCAAAAAAAAAUUAAAAAGGGAAAAGAACUUCAUUGAAUUAAAGGAAUGUUUACAAAAAUUUAUUUAUAACACUAAUCCUAAUCAUCCCUAGAUUUCCAAUCGUGCAAAAAGUUUCCCCAAUCUAAAUCCAAAUAUUCUUCUUCAUCUAAAUCGAAAUGAAUCACUUCUCUUAAUCUUCUUCUUCUCUUGGACUUCUUUUUAUUCUUACUAAUCUUCUUUUGUGGCUUCAGUGCCUGAGGACGAGAGGUUGAAGGAAUUUUUUUAGAAAGUCUGACCUAUUGAUCAGAAGUUGCCUCAGAGACUAUUGUAUUGGUAAAAAAUUUGAGAUUAAGCUAUUGAUUAACUUAACUCGCAAAGCAAGAGUCGUCACCAUGCUUUUAUUAUUUCCCAAGAAAAAGGGAAAAAGUAAGAACAAAACCCAAAGAAUUUUUAAAACAAAACUAAUAGAAAGAGAACAAGGGUCUGAGGGUUAGUUAUGCAAAGGGAAGGUAUUAGCACCCUAAACAUCCAUGGUACUCCAUGUGAAACUCUUUGAAAAUAUACAUAUUUUAGCUUGAAAAAAGUGUUGUUUAUUAAAAAUUGGAGGGAUGGGAAAAGAAGUAUAUUUAUUAUGAUUUGGUGUUUGCCAACACUUUUAGAGUCUCAUGCCUACGUACCAAUAAAGUGCAAUGAAGAAUCAAAACCUCGUAGUUCGUGGUAAAAAUAACAAAAGGGGUUUGUUUUGAUUCUUUUUUUUUAUGGAAAAGACAUUUUGUCUUUUUAAGGAGGAUACUCAACUAGUCACCCACAAGUAUGAGAACUUUGCAUCAUCAUGAGAAGGGCUCCAACUUGGAUAAGGAUCAACAAGUAUGCCACUAGCUCCCCCGGAUGGAAAAGAAUUAUCAUCAAUACUAUAAAGAUAGGAGAAUUAUAACUCAACUAUGGAAAUGAAACAUGUCUAAUGCCUUGAGAAAAAGUUUAGAAGGAAAAGUGCGCAAAAGGCAUAAAAUGGUUUGAAUGAGUUAGACAUUUUUUAGUCUUUUGAAAUUAGUCUGAAUAUGCUUAAGAUGCAUUAGUAUUUAUUAAGAAAAAUGUUUUGAAAAUCACUUGACAAAAUUCAAGGUUUAUUGAGAAAGUUGUACAAGUUAAAAAUAAGAAGGUUUUUAAAAAAAGAGAGAAGAUUUUGAAAAUUAAAGAAGGGGGGAGAAGAAGAGACUAUCCUAGAGCAGUAAAGUAAAAGCUAAAGAAAAAAGAUUUAACCAAGAGAUACCAAGCUUUGUGACAUAAGUCAAGCAAGAAUUCCCUCCUUUGGAUUAAGCCUCAAGCAAGCAAAAUAAGCAAAUAGUAAUUCAUGUGUCAGAUGAAACAAAAGUAACCAAUCCAAGUCCUCAAAAGGAGAUCACAAAUCAAAGGUAUCAUAUGAAUUCCAAGGUCACAAGUCCCAAAGCAAAGGUCAAGAUCCUAAUUCUAAGUCCAUAACUCCACAAUGAUGCCAAGGAUAGUAACCAAAAGUCCAUGAGUUAGGAGAAACAAGAUCUUUUUAGGUUUUUCUUUAUUAAUGUUUUCUUUACAAAGAUAUAAAGAAAGGUCCAAAUGGACAAAGAACAAAAUGACAUAAAAACAAACAAUAUGAUAUGAAGUGUUAAACAUAAAGUAUAAAGUAAAUGACAUAAAAUAAAAGCAUAAUGCAAAUGGAAUUAAAAUAGAAGUUAGUACAAGUGAAGAGUUAGUAAGGGAUGUUAGUAAAGAUGAAAAGAUGUCUUUGGUCAUUUUUUGGAGAACACUCAACUAUCCACUCACAAGCACGAAAAUAUGAGCAUAUACAUCAUUUGUGAGAAGGGCUCUGUUCUGGACUGGGCCACGACGCUUAGCACGGCGCGGCCCAAUGCUCGCCAAGCCCACGUCCAAACGACCGUAUCCAAGCGACCACGGGGACACGUCAGGUGAACGACCGUCCGCCCGGAGAAUGUCUCCCCGGCCCCUUAAAUACGUGUCGGACAACGAGCGGGUCCUCCUCAUAUGAUCUCCAUCCACUCAUCGUCAACCCACGCCGCGGGCACCUAAGUUGUGUCGGGCAGAGCCAUAACGGCAUCUCACUCACCACGUCACCCAACUCCCCUAUAUUGUCUCCUUAGGGAUAGGGGCAGUUGGACCAGGGGGCAGACCUUGGUCUAGGUCUUAACGCUUCUUACGCGUCCCCUGGCAGCUCCUCCUUGGGCCUAGCUAAUCCAGCCCAUUAGGAGCCUUGGCCCAGCGCUGGGGGCUCAAUAUAAAUACCCCUUUCAUGGCAAAGGGGCAGGUAUUCUAACUCACACUCUGAUAACCUCAUUCUGUACCUUUUCUGACUUAAGCAUUGGAGCACCUUGCAGGUACACCCCCCUCUCAUUUCAUUCUCCGGCCCAUUCACCAAGACCUUGGAAGGCCCUCCUGAUCAGGUGAGAUCAGUGGCGCCGUCUGUGGGAACUAGCUAUCCCCAUCUUCAUCAAACGAGGAUCAAAAGCUCAUUUAUUUCUGUCCUUCCAACAUGGCCGGAGAACAACAUAGCGAUCACAGCCGUCCCCUCGUCAACUACAACAUGGACGACGGCCCGCCAUCCCAUGAAGCGGACGUUCGGGACGGUCAUCCAUCCACCCCGUCUCCAGAGCCCCAAAACAACGGAGAUGCCUCUCACGCCCACAAUUUAGGGGCAGAGACAUUUCAUCCCAUUCCCGUUCCCGUUGAAGGAGACGCCGUAAUGAUUGCCAUGGUGAAUGCCCUCAAUCAGGCCGGUUCUAUGCUCCACCAGCAGCACGAACGAAUCAUGGCCCUCGAAGCCGAACGACAAGAGGCCCGGCCCCAGCCGGUGAGUAGGAUACAACAACGUUCGGAGCCAACGAAGAAGCGAGGACGUCGCUCUCCAGAACCCCACGUCAGCAGGGCACGCGCCCGUCGUGACGGUGGUCGAGCGAGAACAUCACCAAGGCGCGGGCACAGCCCCGACAACAACGAACUGUCUCCCUUAAGGAGCGACGAGGAAGAUUUGCAUUGCCCCCUAUCUCGGGCAAUAAUGGAAGCCCCGCUCCCCAAAGGCAUGGAGAAACCACCAAAUCUAGCUGUGUACGACGGGACUACAGAUCCCGACGAUCACGUCGACAACGUCAACGCGAUGCUCGACUACCGCAAUGAUAUAACCGGGCACCUCAAAUGCCGACUGUUCUCAACGACCCUCAGGAAAGGGGCCAUGGCCUGGUACAAAAGCUUGGCCCCUGAGUCCAUCACGUCAUGGAGAGUCAUGAGGUCCAUGUUCACCCGGCACUUUACAGCUUCCCGUCGUCACCCCAAGACUGAGGCGACCCUUGAAGCCAUAGUGCAGAAGAAGAAUGAAACACUGCGCUCAUACAUCGAGCGAUUCAACCAGGAAGCUGUCGAGGUAGAUACCACCGAGCACAUGAAGAAGUAUCUCCUCGAGAGAGGUCUCUUACCCGGCAGUGAACUUAGCAGAGCCGUAGGGAUCGAGCCUCCCCGCACCUUAAACGAGCUCCUGCAUAAAGCCCAGGCCUACAUCAGAUACGAGGAAAAGCAGGUGGCACACAAUGCCCGCAGCGGACGUAACGCUGGGGAGACCGAGCACUCAAAACGCGAGGACACGAGCAUUUCCCGUCGCAACGGAGACAAACGAAGAGAAGAAAGACCUCGCGAGCUCCGGGAAGGAAGAGGCCCCGCGGGCAGAUAUAGCGAGUACACCUUACUGACAGCUCCUCGAGAGCGUAUCCUCGCAGAAUGUAUCAACUCUGAAUUUAAGCAGGGCAGGGUCAGGUUCCCAAAACCGUCUGCACCAAAGCCCCACACCGACAAAUCAAAGUACUGCCGGUUCCACAGAAGUCACGGGCACGUGACCGAAGACUGCGUCCACCUGAAAGAUGCGAUUGAAAUUUUAAUCCAAGAAGGGCACCUGAAGCAGUACACGAGGAAGAACGAAGCUCCCAGACACGACGAGCCAGAGAAGAAGAGACCCCGGGAAAACACACCCCCCGACAACUCUCCCUAUCAAGUGGCCCUCUGCGUGUCACGACCGGAAGAUUUCUUCCUCCCCGAACCAUUGCCCGAGGGCAAGAUCACUGCACUCAGCCCCUGGGAAGACUUCCCUACCACACUGGUGAUAUCAGGAGGAGGAACUAACGGGGAAUCCGCGGCCCUCUCCGUCAAACGUAAGUUCGACGAACUCCUACUGACUGCCCCCGAGCAGAAAGCGACAUUGACAAAAUACCGGGGAAAAUCCAACCCAAUAUCCUUCUUCCUGGAGGAACUCCCGGGCGGAUCCCCGAACUCGGCCAUCCCACUAUUGAUAAGAGCAAAGAUGGCCCGAUUCGACGUACGACGCAUCCUGGUCGACGAAGGCAGCUCAGUGGAUAUCAUGUACGUCCACCUCUUCAAGACUCUGAAGCUAGACAAGACCAACUUAGCCCCCUACGUCGGAUCAGAUCUCCAAGGAUUCAACGGAGCAACAACCAGACCGUGGGGAUAUGUUGAGCUCCUCGUCACCUUCGGCGAACAAGAAACGGCCAGGGAAGUCAAAAUCCAAUUCCUGGUCGUAGACUGUCCGUCUCUCUACAAUUGCAUCUUUGGACGCCCGACACUGGCCGAACUCACCGCGGUCCCAUCCACCGUCCACCUGAAGAUGAAAUACUACACCAAAUUGGGACGUGUGGUCACCAUCCAUGGUGACAUCGAAGCAGCCCGGCGAUGCUACGACGCCGCAGUAAAAGGACAGGCCGUAGUCAGCACGAAGAGCAACUGCAACAACAAAAAACUCAAGACCGAGGAUCCUGCCCGAGGAGUCAACGCCAUCGACCUCGACUGUCGCAUCGGGCUGGACGAGACCGAAGAGGGGAGGUUCCCCAAGGAACGCUCUCUCGAACACCCGGUCCGACCAAUCCCCGACGGGGAGUUCGAACUCAUUCCUCUUGGGGACGAUCCGGAAAGGACGGUGAAGAUAGGUAAGGGACUACCCGAGGAAACAAGAGAAGAGCUAGUAGCAUGCCUCAAAGAGAACUCCGACCUCUUCGCGUGGAAUGCCGCAGAAAUGCCCGGGCUGGACCCCGAGAUCGCGUGUCAUAAGCUAGCUGUAGACCGGGCAGCCAAGCCCAUAGCACAGCGUAGACGCAAGCAAUCGCCCGAAAAGGCAGAGGCUGCCGAGCGAGCUGUAAAAGACCUCUUAGAGGCAAAUUUUAUUUCUGAAGCCCAGUACACAACCUGGCUCUCUAAUGUAGUCCUCGUUAAGAAAAAUAAUGGAAAAUGGCGUAUGUGUGUUGAUUAUACUGAUCUUAAUAGGGCUUGCCCGAAAGAUGCUUUCCCCCUCCCUAAUAUAGACUCGCUCGUUGACAACUCUGCAGGUUUUAAACUCUUGUCCUUCAUGGACGCAUAUAGUGGAUACAACCAGAUCCCUAUGUCGCCCGCAGACAAGAAACACACAGCGUUCAUGACCCCAACGGGCAAUUACUAUUACAACGUGAUGCCGUUCGGGCUCAAGAACGCUGGCGCUACAUACCAACGCAUGAUGAACAAAGUCUUCAAGGACGAAAUAGGGGACAUGCUCGAAGUAUACAUGGACGACAUGAUCGUCAAAUCACACGAGGAGAUAACCCAUGCUCGACACCUUACGAAGGUAUUCGAGCAGGCGAGACAGUGUAAAAUGAGGUUCAACCCCGAGAAAUGCACGUUCGGAGUCCGGGCAGGCAAGUUCCUCGGUUUCUAUCUCACCGAAAGAGGGAUCGAGGCCAACCCCGACAAAUGCCGGGCAUUCUCGGAGUUUCCGACCCCGAAAACCAAAAAAUCGAUCCAGUCACUCAAUGGAGUGCUCGCCUCACUCUCCCGUUUCAUCGCCAAGUCCGCCCAGCACGCAUUGCCAUUCUUCAGACUCCUUCGCAAAGAGGCUACCUUCGACUGGACCGAUGAAUGCGAGCAAGCGCUACUCCAUCUAAAGAAGGUUCUGUCCCAACCCCCGGUCUUAUCACGGCCAUCAGAAAAGGAAACCCUAUACUUAUACCUAUCCGUGGCAACCGAGGCCGUCAGCGCCGUUCUAAUAAGAGAAACCGACGAAGGACAAAAACCCAUCUAUUUUACGAGUAAAGCACUCCAAGGUCCCGAGCUCCGAUAUCAGCAAAUCGAAAAGGUCGCCCUGGCCCUCAUCAACACAGCGAGGAGACUACGAUAUUAUUUCCUCGCACACACGAUAAAGGUGAGGACCGACCAGCCAAUCAAACAGCUGCUCGGGCGCCCGGAUAUGGCCGGGAGGAUGCUCAAGUGGUCACUAGAACUCUCCGAAUUCGACAUACAAUACGAAAGUAGGAAAGCCUUGAAAGCUCAGGCGCUGGCCGACUUCGUCGCGGAGAUGACCCACUGCCCGACUCCAGCAGAAAGCGCCCACAAAUGGACGAUCUUCGUCGAUGGCGCCUCUAGCACAUCAGGCAGCGGGGCCGGGAUCAUCCUCGAAAAUGAAGAAGGGAUCCUGAUAGAGGUAUCAUUAGCGCUAGCGUUCCCAACAUCAAACAACCAAGCCGAAUACGAAGCCUUCCUCGCAGGCCUGAGGUUAGCCGAGGACCUGGGAGCAAAAGAGGUAAAAAUAUCCACCGACUCCCAGCUCGUGGCCUCACAAGUGCGAGGAGAAUACCAAACCAAGAACGACAACCUCCUCGAGUACUUGUCCCUCGUCAAAGAAAAACUUGAUAGAUUUGAAAAAUGGGAAGUUCAACACAUACCCCGCGAGCACAACACACGGGCAGACGUUCUCUCGAAACUAGCCAGCACGAGGAAAAAGGGUGGGAAUAAAUCAGUAAUCCAAGAAAUUCUCCCGCGGCCCAGCAUCGACAAACUACCGCCUCCACUCGAGGUCAACGCUAUUGGAGAUGCCCACUGUUGGAUGACACCCAUCUACAAUUACCUCACACGAGACGAACUCCCGGCUGACCCGAAAGAGGCGACCACUGUCAAACGACGCGCAUGCUCGUACGUACUCCUCGAAGGCAAACUCUACCGGAGAGGAUUCUCCAUCCCACUACUCAAAUGCGUCGAGGAAGAGAAAGUCCCCGACAUACUUGGAGAGAUACACCGGGGAAUUAACGCUCAACACCUCGGCGGACGAUCGCUCGCACGAAAAGCCCUUCGAGCAGGCUACUACUGGCCGACCAUGCAAAACGAUUCGAAAGAGCACGUCAAAAGAUGUGACAAAUGCCAACGACAUGCCGACAUGCACCUCGCACCCCCGAACGACCUCAAAUCACUGUCUUCCCCAUGGCCCUUCGCGUGGUGGGGCAUGGACAUCCUCGGACCCUUCGUCACCGGAUCAUAUCAGAAUAAAUACCUCAUCGUCGGGGUGGAUUACUUCACCAAAUGGAUCGAGGCGGAGGCACUGGCUAAAAUAACCGCGCAGAACAUUCUCCGGUUCUUCAAACGCAACAUCCUCGCUCGGUUCGGUAUACCCCAGGCACUUGUCACAGACAACGGGACACAGUUCACGGACGGAGGAUUCCAGGACUUCAUCGCCAGCCUGGGCACCACACAGCAUUUCACGUCUGUCGAGCAUCCGCAGACGAACGGGCAGGCAGAGGCGGCCAACAGGGUAAUCUUACGUGGCCUCAAACGCAGACUCGGCGAGGCAAAGAGGGCAUGGGUCGAGGAGCUACAUAGCGUCCUAUGGGCCUACCGCACGACACCACAUUCUACCACCGGGGAAACCCCGUUCCGACUAACUUACGGCACCGAGGCAGUCAUCCCGGUGGAGAUACGGACGCCAACGAGGAGGACAGAGGAGCCCCUAGACGAGGAAAUGAACGAUGAAACCCUUAGAGCCGAGCUCGACCUAGUCGAGGAGAUACGUUCCGAAGCAGCUCUCCGGGAAACAACCCUCAAACAAAAGAUAGCACUACGCCAUGACGCGAAAGUCAUAAAAAGAGAGUUCCAGGUCGGCACCCUGGUCCUCAGAAGAAACCAGAAAAACCCGAGAGAGGGCAAACUGGCGGCCAACUGGGAAGGCCCUUACCGCGUCCGCGACAAAACGAGCAACGGGGCCUAUUACCUAGAAAACCUACAAGGAGAACAACUCGCUCGACCAUGGAACGCAGAAAAACUUAGACAAUAUUACAGCUAAAUACACCACGGGGAGACGUGGCAGGUACGACCACGCUCUUCGUCCCCAAAACCCCAGGGAGGAACCACGAGACCCGGGAACGAUCCGGGGUCACAUAACAAACACAACCCUCCCCGACGGUUGGGAUCUUGACCAAGGCUCAACGUCGAAGUACCAAGACUGGCAGGGCACCCAGCUCGCGAUGGGAGGACCCAAGCCUCGGGACCAGGGUUCGAACAACGGACCCGGGCUUCGAUACCCACGGGCACAAAGCCCGACACUUCGUCGGUUCCCUAAACCGAGGAGAUUAACAAAGUCGAGCAGAGUACGAAUUCAUACAAACAAGUAUCAGACACAAACGAGCACAAUGAAUGAUAACGAAAAUAUUCAUACAUUAAAAACGAUAAGAGUGGCCGAAGCCAAGUACGCCCGAAGGCCAUAUUACAACGCCCGAAGGCCAAAAUACAUAAGGCACGCAGGCCAUGAUAACUAGAAUCAAAGAAAAACAGAUAAACUAAGACUCCGCUCGGAGCACCUCUUCAUCCUCUUCUUCUUCUUCUUCUUCUCCCCCCAGCUCCUCCUCCACUUCAAACGGGCAGACAAUCUCACCAUCCCGGACGCAGUAGUUAUAGGCCGACCCUGCUGUCACCAACUCAGGGUUCAGAAGCCCGAGCUGCUCGACAGCAUUGUCGAAACCCUCUUUGAAGCAGGCCACGAGAUCUUGGUUGAGAGUCCGAAUAUGCCCUAGCAACUCACCGCGCGAACCAAGGGCGCGUUCCUCCUCGGUCUCAUCUGCCAGAGGACGGACCUUUCCCUCGAGAGACGCAACCUGAGCCCGUAGGCCAGCGUUGUCCUCGGUCAGCUUCUGAUGGUCGGCCACCUGCUCUUCCAAGCUCGCCGUCGCAGCCUUCAACUGGUCCCUCUCCUUCUCCACCUCCUCCAGCUUCCGGCUCAGCCCUUCCUGUAGCUGAUGCUCUUCUUUGUAGUCCGACAGAUCUUUAGAUAAUUUUUCCUUCUCCGCCCGGACCUGCAAAAGGGCACCCUCCAGCGAGGCAGUGGAGACCGAAGUGUCGGUCAAAACCAUGGCCGUCUCCAUCACCCGGAUGACAGCAGCAAUAUCCCUGGCCAGAUCUUUUCUCCGAGCAGCAGCAUCCUGGUCCAGAAUAGCCUUGGCCUCAGGCGCGGGCACAACAAUCGACUCCUCGGCCUUGAAGAACGACCGUUCCACAUAGCAGGGAGGUAGAAGAUAGCUCCCCGGUCCGUUCGGACUUCCUGGAGACGACCUGGUAAGGGCCCCAGCCGGACGCUUCCGUUUAUGGAGGGGAGAAGCCGCUGGCGACGGACUGCUAUCAGGAAUGUUGAUCGGGUUAGACCGAGGAGGAGAGGAAGGAAUCACGCUCGCCGCCUGCGAGGGACCGACCCCGGCAUCGCCAGCAGUCUCCGAGACACGGGCCGCAGUUUUCUUCUUCUUCUUGGGCACCCGGUCAGGAGCGCCGACCUGAUUCGCUAGCUUCAGCACCCGAUCACGAGCAUUGGGCAUGGCACCUGCAAAUAAAUUACACACAAACAUUAGCGACCGAAGUCAUAAACAGAAAUAAAAAGCUAAACAAAGUCUGCCUACUCAAUAACGCCAGAGCUUCCUCCUCGGUAUCACACUCGAGCAGAGCCUUCGUAUUGAUAUAACGCGUCUCGGUGAUUAGCUCCCCGGCCUCAUCCAGGUAGGGCACGCCCUGUCGAUUCGCCCAGAACGCCAAGCUGAAGCUCUGCACGUAAUCGACCAGCUUCUUGUACGCGAGCCUAUCCUCCUCGCCGAGCAUCGCGUACUUGACCCGGUAAUGCGCCGUGGAGAGAUCGAAAUGAUCACGCUGCCACCUCAGCGGUAUCUUCGACAUCAGCGUCUCCUCCCCGUUGGGUUCCCGUUGAUAGUAGUAGAGAGAGUGAAGGGCAGCCCGGGUAAUCGGCAUCACCACGUACCACCGGCUUUUGAAAUGGCGAACAGAAUCCUCGUACGUCUUGAACAGACGCACGGGCUGCUUGAAAGAAACCCAACUGUGGCGACCACGGGAACCGGACCUCUGGAGAUGGAAAACGUGGAAGAAGAGAGCCCGGGUGCAACCAAUGCCGAGGAACUGGCAAACUAACUCGAAUGCCCGCAUAAAUGCGAGAGCAUUAGGAUGUAGUUGGGACGGCGCCAGCCGGAGCCACUUGAAGACCGACAUCUGGAAGGAGUUGAAGGGCAGUCUAAUCCCCGCCUCACGAAAAGCAAAUUCAUACAUGGUGAACUGCUUCCCCGGGAAAUGAUGACAAAUGCGGUCUUCUUCCUUGGGGGCGCAGCAAUACCAGUUUGGUGGAUCCUCCCGGCUUAUGGUCUCGACCAUAGCGUGAGCAGUGAUGGCCUCGUCACAGAAGUCUGAUUCCUCCUCCAAGGGCUCGUCCGCAACCCAUGAGAAGUCGACCUGCCCGGAAGAGGAGGCGUGUUCGGUACCAUCUCGGACACUCCCAUCCCCGACAGGGAGACGAGCGAUUGUCGCGUCUUCGGUGGAGGACCCAGAAUCUUCCUUCCUCGGUCGUAAGCGCCCGGUAGCACCUGAAACGCAGACAGAAAGAGUGAAUUCGACGUCGUAUCAAAUCCACCCUUCCACCGCAGGUCAAGUGAAAGGGCGUAGCGGCGACGGACACUAACCGUGCUCAACUCGGUGGCGCGCGCAUUCUAUGGAGACCGGGCAUAAACUUCAUACAGCCUAUGCAAGUAUUGCCCAGCAUAUGAAGUUUAUGCCCGGUACAGUAGGAUCCCAACCCUAUUUUCUACCAUCUAAUAUACACCUACAGUCCACUACACUGUUCCCAAGUUAAACCUAACCACAUUUCUACAACAUUAUCAUGCGUUUGACAGAAAACAACAAGGAAAAAGAAUGGGUCACAGUGGAAAAUCAUACCUGACAUAGUUAAGUUGAAAGGGUACGGUGGUGUCCGAACAGAAGACGGUGGUUCAGAUAGGAGGACGGGCGGAGACGGCGGUCCAGACGGUUGAGCAAGCAAACGAGAGAGAAGGUGGAGAUCUCCGGUGAACGUAUGAGCGAGAAAAAAAGGUAGAAAUGAAGUUACUCAACCCCUUUUUAUAGGGCUUGGCACGUAGACCAACACGCUAGGUCAUCAUUGCCUAGCCUGCCUACGCCGUCUUUGCGCGCGAAACGAAGCGACGCCACUAAUCGUGAGACACGUCUAUCAAAGAUAAGAAGCUGAAACGACCCGAGCACCUGUCCGUCUCCUCGACUCACCAAGACGCCUCCUCCCCGCGCCAUACCCACGUUUACUACAAGGAAGGAGCAGAUCAACCGAUCACCUCCAUCCCCGACAUUCCCGGAGAAAUGUCAGUCAUGAAUAGGUCUGUUACGACCUCACCUGUCUAACGAUCAAGCUUCCCCAUCGUCUCGGGGAACCCUUAGUUGAAACAUAAGUCAUCUCUCUGGCUCAGAGACUCGACUUGGGGGGCUCCUGUUCUGGACUGGGCCAUGACACUUAGCACGGCACGGCCCAAUGCUCGCCAAGCCCACGUCCAAACGACCGUAUCCAAGCGACCACGAGGACACGUCAGGUGAACGACCGUCCGCCCGGAGAAUGUCUCCCCGGCCCCUUAAAUACGUGUCGGACAACGAGCGGGUCCUCCUCAUAUGAUCUCCAUCCACUCAUCGUCAACCCACGCCGCGGGCACCUAAGUUGUGUCGGGCAGAGCCAUAACGGCAUCUCACUCACCACGUCACCCAACUCCCCUAUAUUGUCUCCUUAGGGAUAGGGGCAGUUGGACCAGGGGGCAGACCUUGGUCUAGGUCUUAACGCUUCUUACGCGUCCCCUGGCAGCUCCUCCUUGGGCCUAGCUAAUCCAGCCCAUUAGGAGCCUUGGCCCAGCGCUGGGGGCUCAAUAUAAAUACCCCUUUCAUGGCAAAGGGGCAGGUAUUCUAACUCACACUCUGAUAAUCUCAUUCUGUACCUUUUCUGACUUAAGCGUUGGAGCACCUUGCAGGUACACCCCCCUCUCAUUUCAUUCUCCGGCCCAUUCACCAAGACCUUGGAAGGCCCUCCUGAUCAGGUGAGAUCAGGCUCCAACUUGGAUAAAGAUCAACAGGUAUGCCACUAGCUCUCACAAAUGGAAAAAGAUCAACAUUUUUACACAAUACCAUGAGGAAUAGGAGACUUAUAAUCUCACUUAUAAAAAUGCAAUUGUCUUUGGGACAAAUUUAGCGCUAUGUUAAGCAAUCGUAAUUGGACUUAUGUAGAAGUCGCAACUAUCUAAGGUCAGUCAAUAAUAAUAUUUGUGUUAAUACAUGCUAGAGAAAUGAUAUGUAAAUCAUUCUCCUAAAGUUAUGACACACAAGAAAAAUAAAAGGAAAGGGGAUGAUCAAGCACAAAGGCUAAGAGGAUGGUCCAUUACUUUAAUCCAUAUUUUAUGACACUUAAGACAAACUUAUGCAUCAAUCCAAAGUACCUUAAAUGAUUCAUGAUCACUUAGAAGGUAGGUUUGAAAUGAUGAAAGUUCAUCAAGUACCAAUCCACACAUCAUGAACAACAUGGACACAAAUUCAUCCAAUUGAUCAAAAGUAAAAUAAAUGGAUGAAGAAGAAAGGGGACAAGAGAGGUCAAACCCAAAUUGAAUCACAAAUUUGAUCAAGUCAUCAUCAAAAUCAAUCAUCAGUUUUGGUGGAUUAGGGUUUUCACCCCAUCAACACCCAAGAUCCAUUGAGUUUGAUGAGACUUGAAGUCAAAAUCCUCAUAAUCUAAGGCCAACAGAAGUCCACAAGGUCAAACAGAUUUAAAAUGCAAUUAAAAUGAAAUAAAAAUGCAUUAAAGGUAUUUUUAAAUUAUUUUAAAAUGGAAAUAAAUGGAAAAUCCACAAAGUCCUUCAAAACACCAAAUAAAUGGUCAAGAAAAUUGUGUAAGGUUGGAAAUAAAAUGAGGAACAUAUAAUAAAAUUUUCAAAAUUUUAAAAUGCAUAAAAGUAUUUUUAAACCUAUUAAAACAAAGGAGAAAAGAGAAAAUUCAUGAAAAAUAAAAAAAUCAAUGAAAUAAAAUAUGGAAAAAUAAAAAUCAGAUGAAGAAAAAUAAAAGAAAUUUUAUAAAUUAUUUUGGGAUUUUUUCGAUGAAAAAUGAAACUGGAUCCAAAUGGAGCUAAUGGAAUCAAGUAAAUCGAUUGAAACGCGCUGAAACUCAAAACACAUUAGUUGAAUUUUCUGGAAACAUUUCGAGUUGCAGUAGGGGUUCCUUGGCUCUUCAAAGCUUGCAAAUGACGGCAAUAGGUUCCUUUAUUUAUAGGGAAUGUGUUUGGAUCCAAAUACGUGUGGAAUAAUGCAGAAUUCGUGCAAAACGAAUUUGAUCCAAGUGUGUGAAAAGUGUGACUUAAAACUCCUCAAAACUCAGCCAAAUGAUGCGUUUUAAGUGUCAAUUAACUUCUGGAGGUUUGUUAAAACAUGUUUAGGACCAAAACACUUGCUGAUUUGGCUUGGAAUUGAUUUUAGUGUUGAUCAAAUUUCGGGCAAUGGUGAUUUCUUCAGUUUCAAGUCACCAUGUUCAACUCAAUGGGUAUCCUACUCAAUAGGCUUUUUGAUCCCAUUAUUUUUGCAAUGUGUUAACAUCAUGUCAGGAUUACAAUGAGCCAAGAAAGGUUACAUUUGGAUGUUUGAGCACAAAGUUAUGGUGUGUUGAAGUUGCAUAAAAUACUGGUUCCAUAACUUAGAAAAAUUUGAGUGCUUCAUGACUGAAAAUGACCUAUAAUGUCCCAAUGAAUUCCAUGGUCUUCCAAGCAUAUUUUGGCCUUGGUCCUUGAAGAAAACUUGUAGAGUGUAUCACCAAUGGAAAUGUGAAAAAAGAAUCAUCUCCAUAUGUUGAAAAUUGAAGAAGUUAUGAUCUUUGAAAGUUGGCAAAAAGUCACUUGAAAAUAGGUCAAAUUUCACUAAGUCCACAAAUGACCUAUAAUGUCUCCAAACUUUUGAUGAUCCUCCAAGAAUAAUUGGCUCUUAUCAUGUAAAGAGAAGUUGUAGAGUAUGUUGAGAAGAGUCAUAUGCAAAAAGGAGCAUUCAAAGAAUGUUGAGAAAUGAAGGAGUUAUGAUCCUUGGAACCUUGACUUCAAAAUGUUGACUUUUAGGUCAAACCACUUGGAACAAGCUUGUACACUUGGACUUUUCUUGCAUUCUAAAGCACAUGGGUGAUCAUAUGAACUCAAGAUGAGGUGUCCUUUAUUGCCUCUUGAUUAUAUAGCUCAAAGAUUGAAGUUGCUCGUUGAAGAAGACAUGGAAAUAAACACAUGAACCUUGGACUUUUCUUGAGAAGUAAACCACCAAACUUUGAGAUGCUUUUGACUUGAGGAGCCCUACCUUGCACAAUAAACUUAAGGGAAACAAGACAUAUUUUUGGUAUUUUUAUUAGUGGUUAGAUAAGAAAUGAAUAUAUAAACAUAAAGGUAAACAAAGUGGUUCUUGGUGAUCCCUACAAGAAGCAAACCCAAAGAUGGUUAAGGGAAGGGCCAAGAUGUGGUCUUGUUUGUAUGCAAAAGAUGCAAAUUAGAUAUGGGAUCUUAGAGUUAAUAAUUUGGGUAUGACAACUAUAGGAGCCUCUGAAACAAUAGGAGUAGUAGAUUACUCAGAAUUUGUAUUCAUUUCGAAUAAGAUGUAUGUUUAGUGAAUAUGGAUUUGUGAUUUGGCUUGAACAAGUUAUGUGCUUUUAUAAAUUUUGGAAGAUCAAACACUUUGCAUGUUUGAAUUUAUAAUCUUUGAAAUUCUCAAAUCCAAUCACUAAUUAAGCAUGCCAUAAUGUAUCAUAAUUACUUCUUGGGAACUGAAACAGUAGUGAUUUACCAUAAGAAGUAAAAAAAUUCUUUGGUUAACUGUCUUUUCAUUAUGUUUCUUGAAAAGGCUUUAAAUUGUUUUAAAAUGUCAUUUUCUUUUGAAAAAUUCUUUUUAAUCCUUUAAAUUGGUUUUUAAGUGUUUCAAAAUUUUCAGUGUUUUAAACUCUUUCAAAAUUCUAUGUAUUUAAAGUAUUUUAAAUUGCGUUUUAUUUUUCUCAGUUUUGUUGUUUUUUCUCUUUCUUUAAAAACUUGUUGAUAAUGACAAAUGGGGGAAAAUGCAUGGAGUAUUUAAGAAGAGAUUGAAGUAUCAUAACUUGAACAAAGUAGUUUCGGACAAAACAGCUUCUGAGUUAUAAACUCUAAGUUAUUUAUUUAUUUUUGAGUAAUUUAUCUUACUAGGAUUAAAUGAUAAAUUUAAUUAACAAAGACAUGACUUAAGGAAAGCUUACAAACCUUACCUUAAUGAACUGUCAGACUAAAGGAAGAGCUUACAAACCUCAACCUAAGGUCUGUCAAUCUCAGGGGGAGCUUACAAACCUCAGACCCUGAUGUUAGAAUUUGUUGAUUAUAAUUAUAAGAUUCAAUUAAUAUAGAUAUGGAGUUAAGGGGAGCUUACAAACCUCGUCUUAAUGGACUAUCAGACUUAGGGGUAAUUUACAAACCUCACCUUAAUGGACUGUCUAACUUAGGGGGGGCUUAUAAACCUCAGACUCUGAUGUUAGACUAUGUUAAUUAAGUCAUCAACCAUUGUCCAUGAAUAAAUUUGUUUAUCAUCAUCAAAAAGGGGGAGAUUAUUGGAACAAGAUUUGUUUAUGCCCUUAAAAGGUUUUGAUGAUAAUAAUGUAUUUCGAGAAUAAUAUGGUUUGCUAAUAGUUGUUCAAGUGUGCAGGUUCUGAAGUCAAAUUGUACCAAGGUUUCAAGUCUAUCAAAAGAAUAAGUUCCAAACAGAACUAACUCAUAUUCUGAUUGAUCAGAAUCUGUAGUAGUUCAUCAGCAUCUGAAGGCAUUAGACUCUGAAGGUUCUGACUUUGGUCUCGACCCAGCUUCUGAUGACAGCUCAGAUUCUGAAAGUCUGAAGGGAAUUUGAUCUGUACGUUGUACCAAAGUAGUCUUGUCUUAUCAAAGCCCCUGAUUUCUUACUGAGUGCUUGAUCGAAGAAGUUUUUGCUAAUGAUUUUGCAUUAAAGUCUCAUGCUUGAGGGUAGAGCAAGGAAGUCUUGAUUAGUGUGAUUGAACCUUGAAGUCUCAUGCUUUAGGUCAUAGCAGGAAGUCUCUUUCUUGUUAGAUUGAGCAAGAAGUCUCUUUUUGUGGGAUUGAGCAGGAAGUUCUGAAUGAGUUAUUCAGGCAAUUAAGUCUCUUGCUUGAGGGCUUGAGAAGAAGUCUCUUUAUAGUUUGAUUGAGCAAAGUGUAAUUUAUUGAUUAUAGUGAAAAUACCUAGUGCUAUAAGGGGACUAGACUACUCUCGGGUUGAGAGGAACCAGGAUAUAUUGUGUGUAUCUUUAUUUACUUCUGCAUUUACAUCCCAUUAUGUAACAAACUCUGAAGUCAGACACUGAUUUGAUUCAGACUCUUAGUUGGAUUAGAAUUUGAGCUUGACACCUUAAGUUUUGAAUCAAGUUUAAGAAAAAGAAGUAAACUUUCUCAUACACAAUUCAACCCCCUCCUCUUUCUUGUGUAUAUUUUUCUCACCUUCAGUUGGGGUCCCAACUACUUCUACAACAACAUAGCCAUACUUGCUCACGUCGACCUGCUCCACCAGCGUCAUGCCCAUCUAUGACAUCUCGCUAACCUUAAGAUGCUCGCCAGGCUUAACCAAGGAAACUACAUUUGGCCUAUGUAACACCCCAAUUUUUACCAUUUAUUCUAUAUAAGUCAUUUUGAUUUAAUUGUGUAUUUUUAUGUUUACUUUGUUAUUGGGUGUUUGUGGGGUAUGUGUCCUUGAGAUAGAAGAAUAUUUAAGGGAUAGUGACCCUAGGAUUAAUCUAGAAUAAUUUAGAGUUAUUUUAGAUAAUUAAAAUAAUGAUUUAAUUGAUUAUUUAAUUAUAUAAUAAGAAAAAGGGAGUGUGUAGAGAUUUUGAGGGUAAUGUGGUAAUUACAAGGUUAAUUUGAGGGUAUAAUAGGGAAAGUCUAUUGGGAGAAAGAGGGUUAAUAGAAAAAAAAUGUGAUUUGAGAAAAAGGAAUCAGAAUUACAACGUAUGUAGAAAUUUGGAGAAAGGAGAAGGAAGGUUAGGGCAAGAGGCUAAGGGUUAUCUAGAGGAAAAGAGUGAAGGAUCUGCUUCAGAAUUGUUGCAAGGAAUUCAGGUAAGGGUGGGAAUUUGUUCCAAUAGUAAAGGAUAUGGUAGAAGGGUGGAAUGGAGGAACCCUUAACCUCCUUAGGGUUAGGUGUUCUAGAUCUAAUUCUUGUUUCUAUGUUAUAAUUGUUGAUUGUAUGAUGAAUUUGGUGUGAAGUCCAUGUAUCAUAUGUAUGUUUGAUGUUAUUUAUGAUGUUAUGCCAUUGAUUGAUGUUUGAAGGUUUUAACCUUGAUUUGUGUUAUUUGGUGAUUUAGAAAUGAUGAGUAUGAUGAUGUGUUAUAAUAUGAUAUUGAUUCAUGAAAACUAUGGAGUAAUUGAUGAAUUAGGAAGCUAUAAUCAUGAGAAAUUGGAUUUUAUUUGAUGGACUUUUGUAGCAUAAGUUUAUGGCACAUGAGGGAGUAUUUGGAUGGUUUAACAAACUGACUUUUGGGAAAUUUUCGUAUUAUAGCUCGACCUAUGAAGGUCUUGUGCCGACCUGUAUAUGUCAUAGGUCGAUACAUGCAGUAAUCACAUAGGACAUAACAUACAGGCUUUAAAAAUGGAGUAUAUGUUCUGAACUAUAAAUGUUAUGUUACGGCCUAUAGAUGUUAUGUUCUGACCUAUAAAUGUUAUGUGUUGAUACAUAACUACCAGAAUGUUGUUUUGCAUUAUUCGACGAUUUUGGCCAUAACUUUUGAUCCGCAUACCGAAAUGAUGUGUUGUUUGAAGCGUUAGAAAGCCAAUGCUAAGAUCUAUUACAUGAUAGUGAUAGGUAAGUUGUUUUAUUAUUAUUCAUAUGCCUACUAUAUUAGUGAAGUUUUUUUUCAUAUGUUCGGUUAAUGAAUUAUUGACAUAACCCAACGAUUUUGGUCAUAACCUUCAUUUCGUAAGUCUGAUUUAAUGUCGUUUGAAGUGUUAGAAACCCAGCAUUCAGACCUAUAACAUGGUAGUGAUUGGUGAGAUGUUUGAGUAUUAUUAACAUGCCUACUAUAUUGAUAAAUAUAUUGGUUUAUAUGUUUGGUUGAUGAAUCGUUGCAUUGUUGUAAUAUCGUGGUGUGAUAUUCAACACUGGAUGAAUCUGAAUUGUUUUGUUUGCCAUCAGACCAUCCCAUUUAAGAUAUAAGCUUAACUAUAUUUUCGAACCCUCAACAUUGGAUGAAUCUGAAUUGUUUUAUGGGAAAUACUUAAUACACUCUAAGGAUUACUGCCGCGCUCUUUUGAAAAAUUAAGUAAUAUAAAUGUCAUCUACACUGAAUUGUUUUUUUUGGACAAGAGUGUCACUUAUGUGGAUGUCAUCUAUGUCCGAUCCUUUGAUGAGUGAGCGGAUCCAUGAGUACAACUAGGGGGCAUUUGUUUGAUUUACUUGUACUUUAAGUUAUUUGAAGGUUGUGUGUAGAAAAUCAAACAAAUGAUAGGUAACAUCUUAGUCUUUUAGUGUUUGUGUGUCAUUUUCAUAUCACUUUUGCAUCACCAUUACUAAUGAUUAAUCUGUUUCAUUUUCAGACUUGGAUCCUCUAGCACUUUCCACAUAUAUUUUGCUGGUCAUGUGUACCGAAUGAGGCAAGGAGUAUCGUAGCUCCUAGCGACUGGAGCUUCGCAUACGGCUACAUCUGAUAGUUCUUCACAAUGUCACAUCCUUAUGUGAUAUAGAAUGUUCCAAAAGAUCCGCCGAGACCAGCUCAUCAAGAGAUACUAGAGGAGGAGCAUGCUAUGACAAAUCAUGUUGAUGUGUUGCCUAAAUGUUGCAUUAUCAUGAAGAUUGGACAGGCGAAUAUUGACAAAAAACUCUUUCCGGAUGACCCUAAAGCCAUGGACGUCGGCGGAGCCCGUCAUAGACAGAAGUUUAUAGUAUUUGUACUUUAGAUUUAAUAUCGGUUGUAUUAUAUUUUUCCUAUUUUUCAACUUUAUCAGAUACUUUGAAUUUAUUUCUUAUAUGUCAUUUUUUCAUAUUAAUUGUAUGAUUUAAUUUAAACAAACCAAUAGAAAAUAAUAGUAUACCUUUAACAUGUCAUCUUAUUCGUCAGAAUUUCUCUAAAUCAAAGUCAAAAACUAUUGUCUAAUGCGGUUACGAAGAUGUAUUUCAGAAUUCUAUUUGGUAUGAACACAUAAAUGCAUCUCCAAAACAAAUAUAUUAGAUAUGACUCUAUUAUAAAACAUUUUAACUAAAAAGAAUGAUCCACUACGUAUCUCCAAAAUCUAAUUCACAAUUUAAAAUUUUCACAUGGAAAUUCUCCACCACUUAGGUGGGAUUAGUAAUUCCCUUGUUUUAUUUGCCAUCUGACCAGCCCAUUUAAGAUAUGAGCUUAGACAAACCAGAUUUAACGAAGCAAACCCAUUUAUUUACCCAGCUCUCCAUACAACCAACAAAUCAUUCUACACUACGAUGUCACGUUAUUGUGCUAAUUUUUGAAACAUUUCAAAUAAUAUCUACAUAAUAAGGUGUAAAAUUAAAAGCAUGUGUAAAAACCAGUAAAAAAAAAUUGUAGCAAAACACAUAGACAUAUAUGUAAAAGGAGCUUUACACAAAACUAAAAACUUGAAUGAAACAAAAGAGAUCUACCAACAAUUUAAGAGUACAAGAAAAAGUAAUGAACAAGAUCUACUGACCUAAGAAGUGGGUAGAAGAUUAAAAAUCAAGUCUGUAAAAUCUGUGCUACAAGUUUCAUCCCCACUAUUGACUAUGCACUUACCUGAUAAAUAUAGUAAUAAUAAACCUACAUAACAAUACAAAUAGCAACAAGCACUUCCAUAAGUGUUAAGAACAGGGAGAUAUGUUGACCUAUAAUUGAUAGUUGACUAGUUCUCCAACAAAGAAUCCAACUCU
rnacentral:lncRNA from 1 species